UUUUUUCCGGCAAAAAAAUAGUAGAAUCAUACAAUGGAUAUAUACAGAUGGUGAAUCCUAAUUAGCAUCUACAAAACAAACCUGUAGGAACACAACAGAGAUUUUUUAGAUCAACAAAUUGAGAAAAUGACUUGACACUCAAAAAGAAAGGCUAAGAAGCUUUGAGAUUUGAUGUUUUGUUAAUAGAGAUCCAUGAGGACAUAGAACAACAUAUUUAAAUAGUUAUUUUUCUAUGAAUAAUAAAAAAGAUUACAUGAGUAACAGCACACCAAUGCUUAUUUGAAUAAAGUGUCAUUCAUGGACAAAAACUAAAGAAACCAACUGGGACUAGGGGGCGAGGCCAUGAUAUUAUCAAUUACGUUACACUAGGCAGGCUAUAAUUACCAUUGAGAAUAGAAUGAUAUAUUCACUUCUCAGCAACUCCAAUAUCUGAUAGUAUCAUAUUACCCUACAGGCAUAAUACAAACAACGAAUGAAAUGUGAGUUGCAACAAUCAGGCAAUCAAAAUCACAUUUUGAACAAUAUAGGAACCCAACAUCUAAACAAAAUAGUAUCAACAAUAAACUACUAUUCCUUUCAUGAUACAAGGAAUUUUUGCCUCCAUAAAUUAGUAAUUACUUCAUACGGAGUAAAAUUUAAGGGUACAACAGACACCACCGCCUCAUAAUUCAAGAACCAAACCAUCAAGAAGGCUAUGUUGAAAUCUAAUCACCACAUCCAAAUAGGUAUUUCUCUGGUCUCAACAAGUGACACAAGGAAAUUUUUGUAUCUAGUGAAUACCUUUGCCUAAAUCUAGUACAAGGUUCUGUUUUUAUCUUGUAAACAUAUAUAUACAUCCAAACAUGUAUACACACACACACGUGUAUGCACUCUGAAGUUCCCUAGAAAUUAUAAGUAGGUUUUGUAGGUACAUGGCUAUGACCAAUUCUUGUCCUAGCUUGUAGUUCUAGGUUAGCCCAAGGGUGUACCUUUUCCAAAAUUUCUCUUUAUGAUGUUGCUUUAUCCUUCUAGGUAUAUAUUGUUAAUGGCCACAACCUCAGCAAUCUUUUUCAUGUUUCCAUGCAUGGAUCAGUUUAAAAAGGAAAAACACAUGAUUUCCAGAGUUUGAACUUCCAUUAUUUUACUAUAGGUACAAGGUUAACAUUUUUUGGUAUUCAUGCCCCAGUUUAGUCAUUUUCAUACUGACAUGUGUUAAUGGUGUUUCUUACAUGCUUAUUGAUGAAAUCCUCCCUUCCCAAGUCCACAAUUCAUUCUAAGUUUAUCAAAAGACAUCAAGGCAUCAUAGAAAAUCAACAAUUCUAAUAUUGUAACAUCUCCAACAUUUGUAGAAAACACAAGAUUCCAUAUUUAAUCUCUAGAUUGUAAAUUAAGGUUCAAAACUCAAAAGCACAUUCAUAUAGACACAAACCUCACUAGCCAUCAGCUUCCGGACAUUAUUAGCAUAUAAUUUUCCCAUACAUUACAAAUGAGCUUAAUUUGAGAGUUAUACCCUGGUAAUGAGAGAACCUGUUUUGGGCAACAAUUCAAAUCAUGACAAAAUUUUUUGGUCUCCAUCUCAUCCUUGUAGCAACAUGUACCUUACUCAUGUCAUUCCUCUUGUGUGGAGCUACCAUUAUCUUACCAAUAACAUGCAAAGUAGACAAUAAGAUUGAACAAUAAAUCAAAAUUCCUUAAGUUUAGAAUCUUAUACUGUAAGGAGAGUGGAACUAUGAGUGUCCAAGUGUGGUUGCUUGUCAAGAGUUGAAAAUUUGGAUGAUUAUUUGGAGGUUCUAUUCAAAUUCUUGGGCAGAAUGAUUAGAGAAUGAAAAAUGAUUAAGAAAUUUAGACAACAAUAGAGCAAGUAAGAAAAAUUCAGAUCUGAAAUGAAGUAUGAAAUAGACUAAGAAUGAUAAUUAGUUCAUUUGUAGCCCUUAUAAGAAGAUAACUAAGUCUCCAAGUGUAUUAUUACUUUCCUUGUUCAAAAUGGUACACAAGAACUUGUUUCCCCAAAACCAAAACACAAUCUUCUUAGGUGUAAGUGGAUUUUUCACAUUAAGCAUUUACCUGAUGGUUCUGUUGACAAGUACAAAGCUCAUCUUGUCACCAAAAGAUUUCAGCAAUGACCGGGCAUUGAUUAUCAUGAUGUUUUCAAUCCUGUUGUCAAACCCACCAUUAUACAUCUUGUUCUUAGUAUUACAAUCAGCCAUGCUUGGUUUCUCUACUAACUUGAUGUUAAUAAUGCUUUUCUUCAAGGCCACUUGUUUGAAGAUGUUUUCAUGGCUUAACCAUUGGGAUUCAUUAACUGUGAUCAUCCUAAUUAUGUGUGCAAACUUUAAAAAGCUAUCUAUGGUCUCAAGCAAGCACUACAUGCUUAGUAUCAUGAGCUCCACUAGUUUCUUCUCACCUCUAGCUUCACUAACUCUCAUACUUACACUUGACUAUUUGUCCUCAAUACUAGUGGUGUCAUGGUUUAUCUCCUUGUUUAUGUUGAUAAUGUUAACAUAACAAGUGACAAUGAUGGUGUCGUGUAAAAGUUCAUCCUAAUCUUGCCCAACAAUUCUCCCUUAAGGAUCUCGAGUCUCUUUCUUAUUUUCUUAGCAUUAAAGUCACACACCAUCGUCAUGGAUUAUUUCUUUCUCAACACCAAUAUAUUGGCGAUCUCUUAGCUCACACUCACUUGUCAAAUGCUAAACCAAGCGCCACACCACUUACUACAUCUCCAACACUUGAACUCUAUACUGGUACCGCCCUCUCUAAUCCAAUAGAGUAUCAGACUAUUAUUGGCAAUAUUGAGUAUAUUUCUCACUCGACCUUAAAUAGCUUUUACACUGAGUAAACCCUCACAAUUUAUGCAUCACCCUACUAGUGCUUAUUAAACUAUUGUCAAACGCCUUUUUUGGUACCUUUGUGGCACAUAUGAUCAUGGUUUGGUUCUUUAUCGCAACUCUCCUUCUCUUUUCAUGCUAAAGAUAAUUUUACUUCUAUAAGUGCUUACAUCGUUUACAUUGGUCGUAAUCCUAUCUCAUGGAGUUCUAAGAAGUAAAGAAUUGUUGCACACUCUUCUAUUAAAGCGGAAUAUCGUUUUGUUGCAUAUACAUCUACAGAAUUACGUUGGGUAUGUUCACUUCUUAUUGAACUUAGUGCUUAUGUUCUACAAGUGUCUAUGAUCUAUUGCAAUAAUGUUGAUACUACUCAUCUCAACUCCAAUACGAUCUUUCAUUCCUGCAUGAAACAUAUUGAAUUGGAUUAUCACUUUAUUCAUGAACAAGUUCAAAGUGAUGCUCUCUGUGUGGCUCAUGUUUACUCCAAAGAUCAGUUAGUUGAUGCGCUCACCAAGCCUCUUCCACAUGCAUGAUUUCUCACUCUUCAAGCCAAGAUUCAACGCUCCUCCUAGAGCCCCAUCUUGUGGAGGCAUAAUACAGAAACUAAAUAAUUUAAAUAUUAGUUUAUCCUUAAUUUAACUAUUAAUAUUUAUCUAUUAAUUAUUAGUUUGAAUUAGAGUAAAAUAUAAAGUUUGAAUUAGAGUAGAAGUGUACUAUUAGUUUGAAUUAGAGUAGAAGAUAGAAUUUGAAUUAUAGUAAAAUUGAAAUGUAUUUAUAUAUAAAUAUUCCACAUUAUCAAUGAGAAUGUAAGUGUGGACCCUCCAUUUUGGCUCAUGCGUUUCCCACUCGAUGGCGAACUCGAUUUAUUAUUUGAAAAAUGAUUUUUAUUGUUUUAGAAAAAUGACUUGGAGUCACCACUUAUUUUUGUUUUAUUUUGAAGGGUAUACAAAAUAAGAAAGAAAAACCUUAAGUGCGACUCCUUAUUUUGGAAAAGAUGGUCUGUGAAAAACCGGAUUGGGUUCGGGGGUCAGGUUACUAUUCGAGAAGGUACGGUAAAAACCGUAGCACCCCUCUAAGUCCCUAAAGUCGGGUCUCUACUAAUGAGAUGAAGCAAUAAUGACAAUGGAUGAGUAAAUCAAUGAAUACCUGGAAUAAAUCAUGCACACGUGGGUAUCAGAACAUGCAUAGACACUUAUCAAAGUGAAAGUGGAUACAUACCUGGGCAACGAGCCACCAUGCGCUAUCAAGAGAGAGAGUUAGUGCACAAUUAAGGAAUGAUAGCAUGCAUGUCAAUGUCAGGGAGCAGGAUAAAUCAAUCAUGUAUGAUAAUCAAAUCAAUCAAUCAGUCAAUCAAUUAUAAAAUUAUUUAUGUGGGGCCCCCACCAAUGCCCGAUUUAUUUUAGCAUGAAUUAAUUUCGUAAAUUCCAUUAAUUGGAAUUACAAAAUUAAAAUCUUGCUUAUUUUAAAACGUUUUAAAACAAAUGGGGAUGUAGAAAUUGUUUGCUAGAAGGAAAGAUGGCAACAAAGUUUUACUAAAAAUGGGACUCUUGGGUGAUCCUAAAAAUUCUAAGGAUGAAAUAUGGGGAAAUUGGAAUUAUUUGAAAACCUGAAAUCGAGAAAGUAUUACCAAAAUGAGGUAUAGGGAAACUGCUUUCAAAAUCAAGGGAUGAUGAACUGGGUCGAUAGCUCAUGGCAUAAGAAAAGGAAAAAAGUUGCAUGCCAAAGGUGGCCAUACAACUGGAAGCAUGCAGUGGUGAGCUUAGGGAGGAAUGAUGCUGGCAGAGAUGUGGGCUCCAUCUCUUGAAUCUGAUCUAUCAUCUUCUCUCAUUUGUCCAUGUCACUACCACUGUCACCAAACCAUAGGCCUUCUAAUCACGUGAUGACUCCACUGUAGACUGUUUGAUGCAUUCUCAUAUAAACUCUUAAACACCUUUUGAGCUACAGUCAAUGCAGCCUCGUCUCGGCACAUACAUUUGAGUAUUAUUUCGGGAAUCUGAGUGAUAAACCCCUAAAUUUCAGCAUCCUGAGUCCUUGGUUAGCAAAGCUUCCAACUCCUGUGCAGCAAUUUGGUACUUAUCUAAUGCAUCUCCAAUAUUCAACAAGGGUUUAGAGAUGCACUCCACAAAUGUUUUGUGGUAGAAGCAGCAGGCAAUGAUAGUGGAGUAGCUCCCAAUCCUUUUCCAACAUUAGAGGCCUCCACUGGAUGAACUUCAGGGGUAGGAGCCAUUGACGAAAAUGAAAUAGAGUUAAGUUUAGAGCCAUGAGGAGAAACACCAUCCAUCACUCCAAUGCGUACAAAAGGGCCACUGAGGAAUUGGGCAGAACUGGGAUCCAUAUCCUCAAGAAUUAGAUCCAAGAGCUAAGUAGCACUCGAUCCAGUGGCCCCGGUCCCAGUAGAGUAGAAGCCUAGGCUAAGCUGUCUUGAUGAUGAAGCAUAAGCGCGAGACAAACUAGAACUGCCAAGACCACCAAAUACAGCAUGUGAUCCAACAGGAACUGCAUUUGAGCUCUGUCCAGAUUGAUUUUGCCAGANNNNNNNNNNNNNNNNNNNNNNNNNNNNNNNNNNNNNNNNNNNNNNNNNNNNNNNNNNNNNNNNNNNNNNNNNNNNNNNNNNNNNNNNNNNNNNNNNNNNGGACAAAUGACCAUGUUUGGGGAGGAGGGNGUGGGUAUGAAGGUUAUAUAGGUUACAUAUGGUGGGUACAUGUGGAAAUGAGCAAGAGAUUAUGGUAUAAUAUGGGCUCGGUGAGUAUAUGGAAUAAGAAAUGGGUAUGGUUACUUAAUUGGGUAGGUAUGAGAGAUAUAGAUGGAUGAAGGUGAUGAGCAUGACGGCGGGAUAGGAUGAAGAAGAGUGUGAGAGGAGCGACGGAUGGCCAUGCGCGGGAGACGUUAAAUAGAGAACGAGUGGCGAGAGAGAGGGAGAGACACGGGUUAGUGUUCUUGCUCACAGGUGGCAUGGGUGAUGGGAGCAGGGUGUUUGGGAUGGGUAAGGUAAGUUGUAGAUGAGCCCAAGGCUGAGGGAAGUGGGUCGCUGCAGCAUUUGGAGAUGGUAGUAGCCAUCCCGUGCAUGAGUUUCUGGACUCGGAUAGGUAGCGCUCAUUGCUUGCAUCCUCUUUGGGAGAUGAUAGCGAUUUCAGGGCUGACGAGAUAUCAUUGGAAGCAUCAGGAGUCUCUUUCCAUGCUCCCAACAUCUGAUUCAUUAUAUCUUUGCAUUAUGAUUUCCACAGAAACCCCGACAUGUAACAGAAACAAGACGCAGAGGUAGAGAUCCUCAGAAAUGUAUGAGUCAAACAUAGCAGGCGUUCCAACAGCUUUCUUGUCCUGUGGGCCAUGGCAUGGCAACCUCUUCCUCAUCCACAUGCUUAUCUUGAUUAUUUAUUAUGAGUGUCAUUGAUGGCUCAGCAGAUAAGUGGCAGGUGCACCCUCUCUUGGCCAAAGGAACGCCAAUACAAAAUACGACUACGCUCGUCCAAAAGCCGGCGUGACUUUGGGUCAUAUGGGAUUUCCUUGUUGGUCUUGGAUCGGUUUCAUUGGAGGGUGCAACCAAGGGAAUCUGACCGGCGACUUUGACGGCCUGGUUAGAUUAGGACCGCUGGAUAUGGAAGUUGAGAGAUGCGUAGAGACCGACGGCAAAGGGAGGAUGAGAGGGUUUAGAAAGAAUGAGAAGGGCAAAUGUGGUGGUGAAGCAAGUUACUGGCAAUGGGUAUGGAGGAUGGGAAGGUGAUAGUGAGAGAAAAGAUAUGUAGGGGGUAUGAUCAAUGGGGUUUAGAAAAUGGUUGUGAAGAAAUGAUGCAGUGGGUAUGAGGAAGAAAUGAAAGUGUUAGAUUCGACAUUUCAGGUGGGCAUCUGGAUAUGGAAAUGGGGUACUGGCUCACGAUGCUAGAGGUUGGCUGUAUACCAGAGCAAGGAUUCCAAAUUGCCUCAAUGCUGCCAUUGUGCACGAAACCCAGCCGGGUAGCAAACACUGUAUACGUAUAUUUUCAAUGGUAGCUCACUGCAACAAUAAUAUCCCAAUGCCAAUUGACUCUCAUACAACGAUUUCGGCAUAUAUUAAACAAAUCCUGACGCCCGUUCUACAAUCCUUGGAACGACGUGUUACAGCAUGCCAAUGCGGACCCAAACUUCCAACAUGCAAGAGAAGUGGGAGAUCCUGGGGGAAUAAACUGGCUAGCGAAGUCCAUGGGUCAUACUGGACUUGCACUCAAUGCGAUUCAUUAACGGGGACUGUAAGACCAUGAAUCUUAUACACCCAAUACUUAUGGUAUCAAGUCGAGCCUGUCAUCCAUGGCGUUUCGACCCUGGCAGCUUAUUCAUAAAGCUUCACACUAUCUCAAACUUCCAGCGUUGCGUCAUUGUCAUUAUGCUUCCAAGAAACGGGAUAAAGUGCACGACUGCGCUAGAUCUCAUAUAUGGAAUCGUCCUUAAGCAUGACCCAUCAUCGAAACACCUUUCGAUUAUCCGAGAAAACUUGAUUAAUAUAUUCUGCGUUACCUUCAGCAACAUUGGCAAUCACAUUCCCUGUCUAGGAGGAUAACUGGUUGCUCUUCGUGGUGAGUUCGGUGCCGUUUAAGCUUCUCCAUCGCAUCAAAGGAUAGCCAGCCAAAAGGGAAAUGAUACCAUAGAUGAUGAAGGAGUGGCACAGACAGAUGAAGCAGUCAAGAGGUAUCCUUAGAAGUCCUCUGCGGAUGACAUUUUAAGGGCUUUGUGAUACUCUGAAGCAUAGGUACUCAGUUAUGACCUCCAAUCCUGAUAUAGAACACUCAAAACAGGCUCAAUCUACUCAACAUGCUCUUCGGGCACUCCAUAGAAACUAAGCACCUGUAAUCGCAGUUCCCGCUCCUUGGAUUUGCAUUCUCAGAUUGGAGAUGCACCAGUCAAAACACGUCGCGAACAGACACCAAAACAGAGAAAAAAUAUAGAGGAAAAUUGAUAGAACCAAACAAAGAUGGGUGAGAUGGGAGUUGGUUAAGCAAGACCUGGUCUCAUAAUUCAUCCACAGGCUUACCAACUAGUGGGGGAAGAAAUGGAUUUAAAGAGAAAUGAUAAGAAGAAGACCUUGAGAUACCACGCGGAUAAAACUGGUCCAGAUUCACAUCAUUUCUCUCAAAAUGAACCCAGAAAAAAAAAUAUGAACAUGUAGUCAUAGCGAAUCCAAUGAAAACAUAGAAAUCAACAAGAGCAACCACAUGAUAUCCACACGCAAACUGCUAAAUAACACCCAGCUAGGAACAGGGGGGAGCAAAUAACAGAAGAAUAAUGGAGAUAAAUGAGUAGCAUACCUGGAAAAUGCUCUUUCGAGGUUCUAUCCUCUAAACUAUCAGAAAAAAACCUUAUCUACUCCUCCGUAGGUACAACAUCCGCUUCCCCCUCAACGAAACUUGCCCCUCAAGCUCUCUCCCUCUCUCUCUCAAGUCGCUCUCUAUUCUUUUCCUCACUCCCUGAAAAGAUACAAUGCUUCAGAAAACUCUCUCAAAAGCUCUUGGAGUCCUCCCCCCCCUUCUCACCGUUCUUCCAAAAACCAGCCAAAAGCCCUCUUGAAAAGAUCUUACUCUCCUCUCAAUAACUCUCCAGAAUGGCCGCCCAAAAGCACCUCCUCUAGCUCCCUCUCCUAGCUCCCGAAAACUCCCCCCUCCUAAUCACAGCCCAGCCUCCCCAAAAAGCCAUCUGCUCUCUGCCAACCUCGUCUUUUCUUUCUCUACCAGAUUUGCCCCUCUAACAAUAUCUCCAGAAAGAAACAGCUACCUCCAAGCACCACUACUCUGCAGUCUCCCCUUUCUCUCUCAUACGCGUCUCAUAACGGCCUGCAGAAUCCCCUUCCAGCAUGACGGCUUGUAGCUUCCUUUUCAGAAUCUUCUUUACAGAUGUCGUAUCCUUAUUGGUCCUCUAAGCUACUAGCCUGAUUCCCUAGCAGCCAUCCACGAGUCGACAAGUGGCUCAUUGAGGGGCCUCCAUCUGGUAAGAAAGUGACCUACAGAAACGCUAAAAAGUGAGGCCCCAAAAUGGGGGUCUACAGUAAGGCAAUAAUUUCCAAAAUUCUCUUUAAUUAAUUAAAAAAAAUCAUUAGAAUUGAUGAUUUUUUAUCUUAACUUUACUAUACGACAAGAGUUUAAACAUUUCUAAUUCAAAUUUGAUGAUUUAAAUAUUGUUAUUUCCAUUUUCAAUGAAGGAUUGAAUUAAUAUAAUUUAUGGAAUUUUAGUUUGUUAAGAAUUGGAUAGAUUAUGAGGGAAAAAUAAUGAGGUAUGCAAUAGAAGAAUUAUGGUUUCAAUUUUGAAAAUUUUUGGAUUGAUUUUAGAUUAAUUUCUUAUUCAAAUUAAAUUAUUUGUAUAUUGUCUUGUUUUAUUCUUAAGUAAUAAUCCAUCAAAAAUAAAUAAAUAUCUAAAUUUUCUUAAGAAAUUGAAAAAAAAAAAAAAAAAAAGAUGAAAAGAGAACCUAUUUGAAUCAUAUGAUUCAUAUUAUUUUUUCUUAAUAACAUAUUUACUAAAUUACAUAAAGUUAUCCAUAAUUUUCAAAAAUAGAUUUAAUUUUGUUAUAAGUUAUCAACAACUAUCUUUUUGUCAAAAACAAUUACCAAAUAUGGUUCUAAGUGUGAAAAUUUGUUUUCAAAAACAACCCUCAAGCAAAUUCUUAGGUCCAUUUGGCUAUGUUUUUUAAAACUUGUUUUUAAAAUAGCAAACAAAAACAGUUUUUUUAAAAAAUUUUAAAAAGCAAGAGCAUUUGGCAAAUGCAUUUCAUAAAAAAACUUGUUUGAAUGAAAGAAUUUGUAUUGUUUUUAAAGACAAUGUCUUACUUUUGUUGUAUAAGAAUUUUAUAAAUUUAGUUUAUAUUAAUGUAAAAUCAAAUUCAAGUUAAGUUUCAUUUAAAAAAAUAAAAAAUAAAUUUACAACUAUAUAUAAGUUAAAGAUAAAUAAUUUUUUUAAUUAUGAAAUAAUUUUUUUAUUCUAGUGAAACAAAAAUUACUAUUUUAGUAUUUAUUUUUAAUACAAAUCAAAUAUGUCCUUUAAUUUAUUUUUUUUCCAUUUGGCCAUGAUUUUUAAAAAUUGUUUUUUAAGUUAAAGAACAUAAAACAAUUUUUUAAUGUUUUAUAAAAAUAAGGUAUUUGUCAAGUUGUUUAUAAAAAAAAUACUUUAAAAAUAAAAAUAAAACCAAUUUGUUUGGAUAAGCUGUUUUUAAAAAUAAAUUUUCUAUUUUGAUUUUAUAAAAAUAUUAUAAAUUCAAUUUAUAUAACAUUAAUUAAAUUUAAUUGAAGUCUUAUUGAAAAUGAAAAUAAUUUUGUAUCACAAAGAAAUUCAAAAGAAAUAUUUUUUAGUAAAACAUGAAUAGUAUAUAUUAUAAUAAAAUCAUCAAUUAUAUUUUUAAUAAAAAAUAUACUAUUUUAUUAUAUGUUAGAAACAUAAGAAUAUUAACAUAUUUUUGUAAAAAAAAAUUUGCCGUAAAAAUAAAUAAUAAUAAUUUAAAAAUAAUAAUUGUCAAUAGUAUUUUAUUUAAAAAUGAAUAAUGAAUAAAGUUUAACUUUUUAACAUGUAAAUGAGUCAAGUUUUAUUACUUGCAUACAUUUAGUACUCAAUUUCUACAAUUAAUUGGAUCAAUUUUUUUUAUUGCAAAUUAUUCUUAAAAGUUAAAGGAUUUGUUAAAAAAAUUAAAUUAUUAAUUAUGUUUUACUUAAUUUAUAAUUUAUUUAUCUAGUAAAAUUUUUUUUUAAAUAGUUGUAUGUAUAAAAGAAAUAUUAAAGUCAUGACUCAUUAUACAUCAAUUUUAUUCUUCUUCUUCUUCUUUUUUUUUUUUUUUUUUUGCUUUGAUGACUAAAUGAUCUAUUUUUGAGUUCCAAAUUAUUUUAAAAAAACUUGAAAUUCACUAAUAAAUUCAAUAAAAACUAUCACUUGAUUUGAAGUUUAUUUUUCUAGUGGAAAAAUUUAUAAAAAUAUAGUUAUGUGUAGAAAAGAAAUAAUAGAGUCAUUAUAAACCAAUUUUUAUCCAUGAAAUUAUGGUAUUAAUAAGAAUAUUGUUUGAGUUUUAAAGUAUUGUUAAUAAAUCCAACCUAUUAAAUUUUAUUUAAUUUGAAGUUCAUUUACUUAGUGAAAAAAAAAAACUUAACAUAAUGAUUCUAUAUAAUAGAGAAAUAUUAAAGUUGUUCUAAAUUAAUUUUUAUUCAUAAUAGAAGAGAAAUAUUAGAGUUGUUAUAAAUUAAUUUUUAUUCAUAACAUUCUAAUAUUAAUUGGGUCACUAUUUAAGUUUUAAAUUAUUUUUAAAAUUUUCUAAAUUCAUUAAUGAAUUUAACACAUUAAGUGUUGUUUAAUUUGGAAUUCAUUUAUCUAAUGAAAAAAAUCAAGAAUAAUAAUUCUAUAUAAAAGAAAAAUAAUAGUUAUUUUAAACUUAUUUUAUUCGUAAAUUUUUUAUAUUAAUUGAAUCAGUAUUUAAGUUUUAAGUUGUAUUAUAUAGUUACUAUCUAUUUCACUUUAUUUUUAAAAAUUAAAAAUAGAAAAACAAUAUCACUCGUCAAUCUUAUUUUCUUAUAAAUUACCAUAAAUUUGAAUUUUUGGGGCUUGACAUGGUAAGUAGAAGAAGCCAACCAAAAUUAAAUUUGAAACCCCUCCUAAAAUAUUAAUCCAACAAUACUCAAAAAUCAUUUUUGGUCAGCUCUCCCUCUUUUAUGAGCUUGAAGCCUUCCACAACAUCAUUUCUCUCAAACUAGCCGUUGGGGAAGGCCGUGGUAACUCUCUCUCUUCCCUCUCCCGCCCAACCCCUCCUUCCACCUUCUUUCAAAACCCCAAGCCCUCCCCGCCAAAACAUUAUCCCCAACCCGCAUUCUCACAAAAACCCCAACUUCGAGCCCCUCAAGAACCGUCGGAUCCGCCAACUCGACGUGGGCCGCCUCAACCAUGCACUCUCCUCCCUUGAUCUCAUGACCCUGCAAAACGCCCCACCAGACCUCACCACCUACUCCAUCCUCCUCAAGUCCUGCAUCCGAUUCCGCAACUUCCAACUCCGGAAACUCGUCCACCGGAAGCUAAUUCAGUCUGGACUUGAGCUCGACUCGGUUGUGUUGAACACUCUGAUCGGCUUGUACUCCAAAUGUGGCGACACCGCAAUCGCUAGGUUGAUUUUUGAGGGAAUGGAAAAUAAGAGAGACUUGGUUUCAUGGAGUGCGAUGGUCUCAUGUUUUGCGAUUAACAGCAUGGAGUUGCAAGCAAUUUGGACAUUUUUUUAUUUUCUCGAAUUGGGUUUUUACCCAAAUGAGUAUUGCUUUGUGGCCGUGAUUCGGGCUUGUUCAAUGAGUUGGGGAGAUAAUUUAUGGGUUUGUGGUGAAAACCGGGUAUUUUGAGGCUGAUGUGUGUGUUGGGUGUGAAUUGAUUGAUGUGUUCGUGAAGGGUAGUGGUGACUUGGGCUCAGGUUAUAAGGUGUUCGAGAAAAUGCCAGAGAGAAAUUUGGGUACUUGGACUUUGAUGACAACUAGAUUUGCGCAAUUGGGUUGUGCCAGAGAUGCAAUUGAAUUGUUUUUGCAUAUGGAAUUGAGUGGUCAUGCACUGGAUCGGUUUACAUAUGGUAGUGUCCUUUCUGCUAGUACAGAGUCAGGAUUGUUAGCACUAGGGAAGCAAUUGCAUUCCCAAGUUAUACGUUUGGGAUUGGCUUCAGAUGUUUGUGUUGGUUGUAGCUUGGUGGACAUGUAUGCAAAGCGUACAGCAGAUGGGUCCGUGGAUGAUUUGAGGAAGGUAUUUGAUCGGAUGCCUGAGCAUAAUGUUAUGUCUUGGACCGCAAUUAUCACAGCAUAUGUGCAAAUUGGAGAGUGUGAUAAGGAAGUUAUUGAACUUUUCUGCAAGAUGAUAUCUGGCCGUGUACAGCCUAAUCAUUUCUCAUUUUCAAGUGUUCUCAAGGCAUGUGGAAACCUUUCUGAUCCUUAUAAACAUGCUUUAAGGGAAAUGGAGAAAUUUAUUAGAUAAUUCAAGGUGAAUACAGAAGACUACCCUCGGUCCAAGGGUGCCAAGGAACUGCCUCUGGCUAAAACAUUACCUUGGUACAUAUAUGGAUCUUACAGGAGCACUAACCCUUGCAUCUAAACCAAUCAACCACAAAGUAUUACAGGACAGAGAAUGAGAGUAGCUAUUGCGAGGCACUACCUUCCCUCCAAGCUGAUCGUCAUUGUCGCAUUUCGUGAAGAAAUUGGUACCCCAACUGGAUUGUUCAUAUGAUCCUCAACUGACAUCUCCCUGGAGUAUAGAGUAGGCCUGGGGGGCAUUUGCAGGAGUUCAACUUCACCUUCUAGCAUCUCCAAUGCCUUGCUCAUUGAAGGGCGAUCCGUGGGAUUCAUCUGUACACACCAUAAUGCAACUAUGACUAUCUUCCUUAUAUACUUGUGUUCGUCCUCAGUGGCAUCUCCAAUUUCCAUGUCUUCUCCUUGAUCUAUUCGAUCAUAAAUCCAUGACGGGAAGUAUGUUUGGCUUUGCUCUAGACAUGUAUUUGCAUGCUUCCUUUUUCCCACCAUUUCCAUUAAUAACAUUCCAAAACUAUACACAUCAGCUUUAUAUGAAACACCUCCAAUGUUCUUGUAGAAUAAUUCUGGAGCAAUAUAUCCUAAUGUUCCUCGAGCAGCAGUUAGAGACACAAUGCUUUCUUCUAUUGAAUGUAAUUUUGCAAGGCCAAAAUCAGAAACUUUUGGGAUAAAGUUUGCAUCAAGAAGAAUGUUGUGUGGCUUGAUAUCAAAAUGCAGAAUUUGCAUGUCACAACCUUGAUGUAAGUAUUCAAUCCCACGACCCACACCAAGUGCAAUCUUAUAUAAUCUUUCCCAACUCAAAAGAAUGUUGUUUUCAAGUUUAGAAAAAAGAAACUUAUCAAGGGACCCAUUAGGCAUAUAUUCAUAUACCAGAGCCCAUUUUAAUCCUUCUGCACAAAAUCCAACAAGUCGCACUAUAUUAACAUGGUGAAUCCUUCCAAUGGUGGCUACUUCAUUGAUAAAAUCUUGUCCAUUAGCUUUAUGCAUAACCAAAACUUUUACCGCUACAAUUUGACCGCUUUGAAGUUUUCCUUUAUAUACAAAGCCAAAGCCUCCUUGUCCUAAUUUAUUACUAAAUUUGUUAGUCAUCUUCUUUAUAUCUGAAUAUGAGUACUUGACUAGCUGAAGAUUUUUAUGGCUCUGUAAAAAUUCUUCAACAUCAUCAUCGAACGAUAAAUGUCUUCGUCGAAACUUGUAGACUAAAUAGGCAAAUAGGCACAAUAUCCCCGGCACAAAUCUUCCUAUGACUGAAUAUAAAUCAAAAGUGAAAUGAAUAAAGGUUUUAGAAAAAGGAAUACGAUCAUUGUAAAUACUUUUCAUGAAUUUUCAUAUGAAAUUCUCAUUAUAUUAUUCUUCCACAAAAUUGAUAGUAGGAAUUUGAAAGUCUUACCGAUAAUUCGCAAUAUCCAUGCUCCUAAUAAGAAAGGAAUAUAAAUUGGAUCAAAAAAAAUGUGGACCGACAUAAGUGAGCGACAUAAACACAAUUAAAAAACAGACAGAUUUGAGUGAAGAGAGCCUUACCAAUCAUGCUGAUGUUGCAAUAAUAGUUGUAAGCGCAAUAAUUGCCAAGUUCUUCUUUCAAUGCUGUACAUGUAUUAAAGAAAUUUUAGUCAUCAUAAAUCUUGGAAGGAAGAAAAUUUGAAGAGUUUACUCUAUCCUAGUUAUUAACUGAACUAGGAUUGGAGGAUGUAGUUAUUCUUAAAAGAAAUUAACAGUUGAAAUUUGUAAUUUUAAUUACCUUUAAAUGGAAGAGUAGUCGGAUUGAGUAGAAAACCUGUUAACAGGAAAGGACAUGAAUAGUAUUUCUUAAAAGUAAAUGAAAUGAUAAGCAAGCACUUGGACAUUACAUGCAGGUAUUCUAGAAAAUUAACUAAUAAAAAUCAUCUUACAAAGCUUCAUGUGGUCUUCCCCAUCCAUUUUUGAAGAAAAAUCCUAGUAGAAGAGGUUAUUAAACAUUUGUGCAUGGCAUAGGGUUCACACUCCCAAAAAAAAAAAAAAAUUGGUUUUAAGUGCUAAAUUGUGAUAAAUUAAAAGUGAAAGUAGUAGUUUUUGUAAUUUAUAUUAAAAAAAUUAAACAAAAUGGUGGUUUUAAUUGCAACUUGUUUUCAUCUUUCAGACGAUUUGUUUUUUUAUUUUAUAUUAACUUAUUACUUAUUUCUUAAAUUUUUUUACUAAAUAAAAAAAUAUCAAAAUAUUUAACAUUUUAUGAAUGUUAAAAAUAACAUGUACUCAUAAAACAAAUGUCAUUUAUUUUUUUAUUUUUUAAUACUUAAUAAAAAUAAAAUAUUAAAAAAUAAAUAAUUUAAUACUUAACACUAUUAAAUACUAUUUAAUCUUAAGUUUUAUUUUGAAUUAAGUCAAAAAAACAAACACCACAUAAAAAAAAUAUAUAUGAUAACAGAAAUUCCCAAAGUCUUACCAAAAAAAGGAUACAAAUACUUCUUAAACCCUGCAUGAAUAAACCAAAAGAGUCAAAUUAAUUGAGUUCAGGACCUAUGAAAUGAAGUACAACAUAAUUGGAUUUUCAAGUGAUUUUUUCCAAAAAUAUCUAUUUGAUGAUGAAAGAAAGAAUUAAAGUGUAUUUGACAAUGAUUUUAAGAAGUUUUUUACUUGAAAAUAAAAUUUUCAAAGUAUUAGAAAAGUUGAAGAGGCUUUCUAAAAUUGUUAAAAGGACUCUUAAUAGAGAACUCAAAUUGGAAUUAAAGCUCUCAUCGUAUAAAUUCAUACUCACAGUUUGUGUCCGAGCACCAAGUGCCCCAGUAGAGGCAUUUCCCUGAUCUGUAGCAUCGUAUGGAAUUAUUAUUGAAGUCUACAUCGCAGGCUAGCCCUUUCACACUGCAUUCUGUAAUGCAGAGGCGAUGCAAAAAUGAAAGCUCCAUCCCCAUAAGUAGCUUUUCUUGCAAAUCUGAGAUUGAAUAACUGCUGAGUUCUGAUUGAGCAACAAAAGUCAAGGCGAUGGUGCAUGAUUCCCGAAUAAGUCCCGCCUCCAGAGACUUUCCUGCUAGCACAUAAGCAUAUGUCCGUGAGGAAGAGGAAAUGUUGUCUUCGGAUCUGUUGCAAAGAAUAAUGGGAAUGUAGUUUUGAUCACUGAUUGGCCUUUCACAGCUCAACAAAACUAUUGUAUUGUGUUCCCAUUCAUCAGGGCAAUAAUAUGGAUCUUUAUAAUCUGGAUAUGGAUCGAAAUUAUGUAGCAUAUUCGAGAAGGACCAACAGGACGGCAUGGAGAAGGAGGAAUAGAGAGGAGUGGAGAAACAGUCUCCCUUCUUUUGGCCAGGAUCCAGCAUCCGAAUGGUAUAGUUGUGGUAGUUGAUCUCAGCCACAAAGUAUUUCUUACCGCCCUGCUUGAACACGGUCAGAUUGUUCUCACAAAUCAAUUCAUACUUUGGGUCACCACAGCCUGACGGGUCACCUUGCAAUCGGAAAGGGUAGGUGAUGUUCCGAAUACCUCCGCAUGAAGAUGGCUUGCAUGUCUGGUGCUGCUGUUGAUCAUUAGCAACACAAAUAGAAAGGAAGCAGGCGCAGAGUAGUGUUAGCAGGCCUAUUUCCAAAACUUGCGCCUCCCUCAACAUCAUCGACUUUGAAAGAGAGAUGCUGUAUUUUGGGGUUGUAAGUUUCGUUGAGAGUUAUUAAAGUUACGAGGGAUUCUGUGUUUGGGGUUGUAAGUUUCUAUGUUUUUGGGUUGCAAGAAAAGUCUAGUCUUCUUUCUGACCAAAAAUCAUCAUUUUUAUUUACAGAUGUUGUUGGGUUGCAAGAAAAGUCUAAUCUUCUUUCAGACCAAAAAUCAUCAUUUUAUUUUAUAACUUGUAUGGAUGUUUUUGGGUUGCUAGAAAAGUCUAGUCUUUCUUUCGAUGAAAAAUCAUCAUUUUUAUUUUAUAACUUGUAUGAAUGUUUUUGGGUUUCUUGAAAAGUCUAGUCUUCCUUCCGAUGAAAAAUCAUCAUGUUUAUUUUAUAACUUGUAUGAAUGUUUUAGGGUUGCUAGAAAAGCCUAGUCUUCCUUCCGAUGAAAAAUCAUCAUUUUUAUUUUAUAACUUGUAUGGAUGUUUUUGGGUUGCUAGAAAAGUCAAGUCUUCUUUCAAACCAAAAAUCAUCAUUUUUAUUUUAUAACUUGUAUGGAUGUUUUUGGGUUGCUAGAAAAGUCUAGUCUUCCUUCCAAUGAAAAAUCAUCAUUUUUAUUUUAUAACUUGUAUAAAUGUUUUUGGGUUGCUAGACAAGUUUAGUCUUCCUUCCGAUGAAAAAUCAUCAUUUUUAUUUUAUAACUUGUAUGAAUGUUUUUGGGUUUCUAGAAAAGUCUAGUCUUCCUUCUGAUGAAAAAUCAUCAUUUUUAUUUUAUAACUUGUAUAACUUGUAUGGAUGUUUUUGGGUUGCUAGAAAAGUCUAGUCUUCCUUCGGAUAAAAAAUCAUCAUUUUUAUUUUAUAACUUGUAUGAAUGUUUUUGGGUUGCUAGAAAAGUCUAGUCUUCCUUUCGAUGAAAAAUUAUCAUUUUUAUUUUAUAACUUGUAUGGAUGUUUUUGGGCUAGAAAAGUCUAGUCUUCUUUCAUACCAAAAAUCAUCAUUUUUAUUUUAUAACUUAUAUGGAUGUUUUUGGGUUGCUAGAAAAGUCUAGUUUUCCUUCGGAUGAAAAAUCAUCAUUUUUAUUUUAUAACUUGUAUGGAUGUUUUUAGGUUGCUAGAAAAGUCUAGUCUUCCUUCCAAUGAAAAAUCAUCAUUUUUAUUUUAUAACUUGUAUUGAUGUUUUUGGUUUGCAAGAAAAGUCUAGUCUUCUUUCAGACCAAAAAUCAUCAUUUUUAUUUUAUAACUUGUAUAACUUGUAUGAAUGUUUUUGGGUUGCUAGAAAAGUCUAGUCUUUCUUCGAUGAAAAAUCAUCAUUUUUAUUUUAUAACUUGUAUGAAUGUUUUUGGGUUGCUAGAAAAGUCUAGUCUUCCCUCCGAUGAAAAAUCAUCAUUUUUAUUUUAUAACUUGUAUGGAUAUAUAGGUCGAACACUAAUACUUGAAUACAUUAAUUAAUUAAUUACUCCAUAAUCCUUCCCAUAAAAGUCUUGGAAAAAUUUAGUAUUAUAUUUUUCAUGGAACAUGAUCCCUUGAUUAAAGUGGCUGGUCAAUGGUACCUUAAUUUAUUAGAGUCAAAUAAAGCAGCUGGUCAUUCACCUAUUAGAAAAUUUAGCUAAUCUAAUCUAAUAGAUGAUAGGGUUAAGGAAUUGCAUAUAAAUAUUUGGAGUCAUUCAUAGAGUUUUCAUUAGUCACAUUGCAACCAUUUUCAACUUUUAGGCAUAGAAAAAUCUAGUCUUCUUUUUAGAUUCCGUCUCACAAAUUUGGAAAAACCCACUACUUGACCUUUUUUCUUGGAAAAAGAGCUAGAUAAUCCUUUCAAUAAAUGUUGUUGAAAAAUUUUAGUACUUAUUCCAUUGAAGAUGAGGUUCUUAGGCUUGAUUUGCUUUCUUGUCAAUCCUUCUCAUAGUCGCCUUAGAAGAAACUUACUACUUGAUUUUGAUAGCAGCCAGUCCAUCUUUUUUUGUCAAACGCAGCUGCUUUGAAACCAACAAAAUUGUUUCUGACUUGAUUGCAAAAACUAUAGGGAUCGAUCCACGAGCAGUUGGUUAAAAAUGGUCGUGACUUUAUUCCUCUUCUUUUUUAUGAGAUUGUUUGCAGAAAUUGGAGGGAGGCAAGAUGGGUGCAAGGAGUCGAGGUGCAGUGCCCAUGGCCCAGUCAUCCGAUUUCCUUUCCGGCUAAAACACCAGCCAAACCAGUGUCACUACUACAAAAAUAAUAUAUGAUGUCACUAUUUAUGGUGUCGCAUUUAAAAUAAUGACACCAUUGAACUUAAAAUUUAUAAAGGUGACACAUCAUAUAAAAAAUCUUCAAUUAGGAUAGUUAGAUGAUGCUAAUUUCAGAUUUACGGUGUCAUUUUUUGGAAGUGACACCAUAUGAAAUAAAAAGUUUUAAAUUUUAUUACUUAAUGGGCCCUUUUUAAAAAUAGUGAGUAGGAACAAUUUAUGAAAAGUUCAUUGUUUCCAUAUAUACAUUAACUAAUAUAAAAGAUCUUAUUACUUAACCCUAACCAUCGUUUUCUUCUCCUUCUUCUCACACCCAUGGUCGGCACACCCAUAAUUGAUAUUCUUUGCUUCGUAAAAUCUCGGGUAAGUCAAAAUCUCUUAUCUACCAUCUUCAUUUUUUUUAUUAAUGCAAAAAACUUUGUUAGUAUAAUUGUUUUAUAUCUCUUGAUUUAGUAUAUCUAUGAUGUGGGUUUUGUAAAUGGUGUUUUUUAUCGAGUUCCAGGGAAGUAAAAACUAGGUUUAACAUUCUAACAUAUUUUUUGUUUCAUUGCUAAUAAGCCCCAAAACAAAUGAAAACAAGAAAAAUGAAUUAUUUUUAAAAAUUUUGUCUAAUUGAGAAUGAGAGCUACACUAGUUUGUAGUAAUUUUUCGCAUAAAAUAGUAUUUUAUUGAAGACUUGACUAUAUUUGAUACUUUUUUCCACCGUGCUAGGAGCUUUUUGGUGAAGUCUAACAAUAGAGAUUGACAUCUACUACAAGAUGAUACUCAAUUAAUCCAAAAGCACUUAAGUUAUUUAGGGUUUUCUUCGGUUAACCUAAGAAAACAUUCCCACCUUCUUUGUAUUGAGUCACCUAAAUAGAAUAGAAUAUUGAGUAUCAGAAUCGUAAAGGGUAUUAUAAAUAUGACUUUUUUUUUUUAGAGUCACCUACAUGGAAUGAAUUAUUGGUAGGUGAACAAAAUAUUGGGGUGAUUGUAAUAGUUGAAUUAGUAAAUGGAAGAUAAGUGUAUGUUGCUUUGUUUAUUCUAUAAAAACAAUAAUUUUAGUAGUUGAAAUUUACAUGCUUUGUUGUUUUAUAAAAACAAUAAUUUUAGUAUUUGAAAUUUUAAAAUGUGAAUGAAAUGCCUGAAAAUAUGUUUUGAAAAAUAGGAUAGUAAUAAAUGGAAAAUAACUCAUUUCCUAAAAAUAUUUUGAUAAAUUAAAAUAAUAUGUGGUUAAAAUAUAUUUUUGUGAAAGUAUUUAAAAAUGAAUCAAAAUAUUAAUAAUUGUUAUUUUGUUUGAAAAUAAUUUAGGAAUAUAAAAUAAUAUUGGGGAUAAUUUUUGAGUUUAAAUUGGGUUAUAAAUGGUUAAUUUUUUUAGGACUGUCCUUUUUGAAAAUAAUCCAAUGAUAAUUUUUUUAAAUAAGAAUGUUGAAAAUAAUUUUAAAAAUAAAAUUUUGUUGGCAAUGAUUUUUCUAAAAGUAUUUUAGGCAUAAAUGGAAAUUUCUUGUAUGAAAAUAAGAGAAUUUAUAUAUAUAUAAUAGACAUAAAAAUAGACUUCUUUGAUAUUUAAUAAACAAGUGAAUUUUUCUCUAAAAAAAGAAUAAAAUAAGAAUUUCUCUAUAUAAUAAAAUAAUUUAUAUAUGAGAUAGUUUUCAAUAAGAAAGUUUUGAAAAUAAAUUUGGGAUAAAAUAUUUUUUAGUAAGUUUUGUUUAGAUAAUUCAAGAAUAAAGUGGUUUAUUAACUUUUCUUAAAAAAUAACAUUCUUCUUUCUUUUUUGAAAUGAUCAAUUUUUUUAGAAAUAAAACUGUUAGAUUCUAUUUUUUGUAAAUGUUUAAGAAAUUCUAAAAAAUUCUUUAAAAAUGAAAUGACCUUUCUACCACAUUUCUUGUAAUAAAUAAUUGUUUUUUUUUAUACAUAUUGUAAAGUAAAAAAAAAAGUCUUUGUUUAGUUAACCUAAAAAGACAUUCCUACUUUUCUUUGUGUUGAGAGUCACCUAAAUGGAAUAAAAUAUUCAAUAUCAUAGGAGAGUAAAAAGUAUUGUAGAAAUGAUUUUGUUGAGAGAGUUAUCUAAAUGGAAUGAGAUAUUGGUAGGUGAAUAAAAUAUUAUGGUGAUUGUAAUAGUUGACUUAGUGAGUGGAGAAGUGUAUGCUUCUUUGUUUAUUCUAUAAAAACAAUAAUUUUAGUAGUUGAAAACGUGUAUAAAAUGACUGAAAAUAUUUUUUGAAAAAUAAGAAAAUAAUAAAUGGAUAAUAGCUCAUUUCCUAAAAAUCUUUUGAUAAAUUAAAAUAACUUGUAGUUAAAAUAUAUUCUUAUGAAAGUAUUUAAAAAUGAACCAAUAUAUUAAUAAUUGUUAUUUUGUUUAAAAAUAAUUUAAUAGUAAAAAAAUAAUACUGAGUUCAAAUAUGACUACUUUGUUAUGAGAUUCAUUAAAGAAAUAAUUGUUGAUUUUACAGUUAUUGCAUCAAAGAUUUUACUCGUUUAAUGAAUUGUACAUAAUUUCAUACUUUCAAUUAUAGUGAUAUUAAUGUUAUUCUCAUUUGAUUUCAGUUUGAUGACAAAUAAAACAUAUUCUCAAGUAGAAUUUGAUGAAAUUAGAGAAAAAUAGAUUACUUUUGUGUUAUAACUAAUCAUGAAUCAUAUUGAUGUAUCGUGAUCAUUCAUGGUAAGUCCCUUAGUUGUUAUAUGAUUGAAUUUUCCAUUGAUAUUGUAUAACAUUACUUAUUCUUUACGAAUUAUUUUUAUACCAAAAUGAGAAAAAGAAAAAAGAAAAAGAAAACAUUAGUACUUAGAUUUGUUUAUUGUUUAUAACAUCACAUUUUUAUUUUCAAUAAGUACUCUAAAACUCAUUAAACUAUGAAAUGCAGGUAUACACUCUUGGGAUGACAAUAUGAAGAAUAAAAAGAAAGGAGAAAGAGGCAACAAGAUUUAGGUUUUUAGAUAUGACUCUUAUGUCAUACAUUAUAGGACAUAAAUGUUACUUUAUUUGGAAUUGAGAAUUUUGGGUUUUUGGAUGUAACUCUUGUGUCAUGUUAUGGUUAGCCGGUUUUAUGCAUAUGAAAUGCAAGUAUACAUGAAUGUUGGGAAGCUUAACAUUUCUAAAUCAUGUUUUAAUGUGUAUUCACUUUUCUUUUUUAGUUUUGGUGGGUUUGAUGUGUUUGAUGUACUAUCAUUUUGUGAACAUUUGAUAUACAAAUAUUAUUGGAUGAUGUAAUAUGUUACAAAUUAAUUCAUAAGCAUUAUGAAAAUAUAAGUUAAAUGUAAUAUGAUUAUUAUAUUUAUGGACAAUUUACAUAGGUUAGUCUUAUUUAUUAAUAAGCAUUACAAAAAUCUACAAACUAAUCAACAAAAAACAACCAUAUCUUCCAUAAUCAUUUACAAUGAUGUGACACCAUAAAUUAAAGGUGAUACAUUUAACGUGACACCAUAACUCAAAGAUGAUGCAUUUAAUAUGACACCUUAUAUAUCUCAUACAACUCUAUAUCAAAUUAAGCAUCACUAAAAAUAUAUGGUGUCUCUUCUAAAUGUGUCACCAUUUAUCUGCUUUGGUGUCACUUCCAAAUACGUCACCAAUUGAUAUCCUCUAUGGUGUCAGUGGAUAAGGUGACGCUAUGUUGUAAUGACACCCUAUGUUUAUAGUGACUUAUUAUAAAUGUCACCAUAUAUCUUUUUCCUUGUAGUGUGUGGAUAUCCUGGGUUCGAGAUAUCUUGCUCAGAAGAGAAGCGGACCAUGCUAGAGCUGCCCUAUUCAGUAAAACUCUCGGUGCAGAAAAUAAAUUACACUUCUCAGGAAAUUUGGGUCUCUGGACGGGAUUUUUGCAAAAACUUUAAUUUAUCUGCCUCUCCAUUCCAGUUCAUGAGUGCGUACCGAUCUGACUACAUAAUCUUCAGUUGUUCAGAGAGCAAAGCAGAUCCAUAUAAAAAUCUUAAUCCCACCCAUUGCGGUUUUCUUCCCAAUAACCUAGUUUACGGUGUGAGUCCCGAGGCUAGUCUCAGUCACUUGGACUUAUCCUCGUGCUCCAUGAUCUACUAUUUUUCAAUCCCAUCUUGGUCUGUAGACCUUGGGGACUAUAGUGAAUAUAAUGUUGUCAUGAAUUGGUCAAGACCAUCGUGUGGAGACUGCGAAGCAAAAGGAAAGAGAUGCAGAUUGCAGGAGAGUAAUAUCAAGGAACCUGAAAUCGAAUGUGUGGAUCAACCACCAAAAGGUACGUAGUUCUAUGCAACACUCGUUACAUAACUUCUAUUAUGGUUACUUAAUUUUAAGCUAUGUUUGGUUAUCAAAAAAAUUGAGGGAAAAUAUAUAUAAAAAAAAAUGAGAAAAAAUAUAAAGACACCCAAAAUAAAAGAAAUAAAAAUUAAAUUUAAAGUUAAUAAAUUAUUUUUAUAUGUUAUUUUUUAAACUCAUUUCACUUAUUCUAUCUCUUAGAUAUAAAGAUUAAAUAAUUCAAAAACACAUAAUACUUUGAAUAAUUUUAAUCAUAUUUGAUUUUUAAAAAAUAUUUUUUUAUGGUAUAACCAAAUAUGAAAAAAAAUCAUUUUUUUUAACUUUUUUUCUUUCUUUAAUACUUUUUAUGAACCAAAGAUGACCUCAAUAACUAGUUAUUUUAUUUUGAAAAGAAUAUAUAACUUGGUAUACUAUUAGGGAUAUUCCUUUUUGCUAACCUAGAUCUUGAUCAAAUUAUUUAUUCUAGGGGUUUACAUAACUUCUACUAUGGUUAUUUAAUUUUAGGCUAUAUUUAAUUGAUUGCCCAAAAAUUUGUGGGAAAAUAUUAGGAAAAAAAUAAAAGGAAAAUAAAAAAUAAAUUUAAAGUUAAUAAAUUAGUUUUAUAUAUAUUACUCAAAACUUCACUUAUUUUAACUCUUAAAAAAUUAAAUAAUUUAAAAAUAUAUGACUUUGAAUCAUUUUAAUCAUAUUUGAUUUUCUUUAAUAUAUUCCAUGGUAUAAUCAAACACAAAAAAAAAAAAAAAAAAUCAUUUUUCUUAACAAUUUUUUCUUUCCUUAAUACUUUUUAGGAACCAAACAUGAUCUUUAUAACUGGUUGUUUUAUUUUGAAAAGAAUAUAUAACUCGAUAUACUGCAAAGGAUAUUCCUUUCUAAUAACCCAGACCCUGAUCAAAUUAUUUGUUUUAGGGUUUUAUAUAUAUGUCUCUUAUAAGUAUAUCAUAUGCAAGUAAUAGAUUGAGGCAUCCUCUCUUUGUACAUUAGAAAUAUCAAGGCAAGAGAAAAAAAAACAAAUAAAAGAAAAUGGAAACAAAAUAUAAUUAGAAACUAAUGAAAAUUAUACAUCUUUAAAUUCUUUUUUUUUUUUUUUAUGUUUCAAAAGUGUUCAAAAUUGAGGAAAAAUUAAAUCAAGCUAGCAAGAAUAUUUUUCCACUCAAACUUAUAUUUUUGUAUUCUUUAUCACCAAAUUGGAUUGAAUCAUUACGAUGACUCUAUGGUGAAUGUAACUUAAUUCAUAAGUUAUCUCUUAACCAAAACUACUAUAGUAUUUCCACAUGAUAGGAAUGAGAAGGGCAAUGUUAUUUCUUUACUAAAAGCUGGCUACAAGUGGACGUACCCACACACUUAGGUUUAGCUAAAAAAAUAUUAACCUAUGGAAACUGAAGGAACAAUAGGCCUAAGUUCAUUUGAAAACCAAUAGCACUGACUAAAAUUAAGCCAACAUCAAAAUCUUCUUAUAACAUAUUAUGAUUUUAUUAAUUUCAAAAGUACAAGAAGCUGAUAAAUUUAUUAUAUAUCUCUUUCAGAUGUAUCAAAAGAGUGGACGAUUACAGGUAAUUUUCUAUUCACGCAUACUUUUUUUUUAAUCAACUAUGAGGAAGACAUGAGGAUUCUCAAAUUCCUUUUUUUAAUUUCUUCAUUUGCUCUAAAACCUUUUCUGGAUUUCUACCUUUAUAUUUUUUUAAUAUAUUUACUCAAAAACCCUUUUUUUUCCCCUCUACGCAGGAGUAAUUCUUGGUUUCUUUCUUCUCUUGCUAGUAGUCAUUAUUUGCUAUAAUGUCUAUACCACUGAUAAAUCAAAAAAAGAGCACAGCAAAAAGCUUCAAAAGUUUUUGGAAGAUUAUAGAGCUCUCAACCCAUCAAGGUACUCCUAUGCCGAUAUUAAGAAGAUAACAAAUCUGUUCAAGGACAAAUUGGGUGAAGGAGGUUAUGGAACCAUUUAUAAAGGAAAACUUUCAAAUGAAGUUUUUGUUGCAGUAAAAAUCCUUAACGAUUCCAAAAAAAAUGGUGAAGAGUUUAUUAAUGAAGUAAGAACAAUGGGUAGAAUCCAUCACAUUAAUGUGGUUCGCUUAGUUGGAUUUUGUGCUGAUGGUUAUAAACGAGCUUUGAUUUAUGAAUUCUUACCAAAUGAGUCUCUCGAGAAGUUUAUAUUUAAGAACCAAUCACUUGGUUGGCAAAAGCUUCAUGAUAUCGCUCUAGGUAUAGCUAAAGGAAUUGAAUAUCUUCACCAAGGUUGUGAUCAACGAAUCCUUCAUUUUGAUAUUAAACCUCAUAAUAUUUUGCUAGACCAAAAUUUUAACCCCAAAAUCUCUGAUUUUGGUUUAGCAAAAUUAUGUUCUAAGGAACAAAGUGUUGUUUCUAUGACAGCAGCAAGGGGGACCAUGGGCUAUAUUGCACCAGAAGUGUUGUCUAGGAAUUUUGGAAAUGUAUCCUAUAAAUCAGAUGUUUAUAGUUUUGGAAUGUUGUUACUUGAAAUGGUAGGAGGAAGGAAGAAUAGUGAUGCUAUAAUGGAGAACACUAGCCAAAUGUAUUUUCCAGAAUGACUCUAUAAUCAUUUAGAACAGAAUGGAGAGAUACAUAUCCGAAUUGAGAAAGAGGAAGACACUAAAAUAGCAAAAAGGCUAAGCAUUGUGGGUCUUUGGUGCAUUCAAUGGCACCCAAUAGAUCGCCCUUCCAUGAAAAUUGUGCUAAAAAUGUUGGAAAGAGAAGACAAUAUAACCUUGCCUCCCAAUCCUUUUGCCUCUUCAGGUCCAACUAGAACAAAUGUUAGACGACGAAGAACAUCUCUCCAACAAGAGUUGAUAGUUAUUUCGGAGUUAGAGUAAAAUAAAAUAAAAAAUUGUCUACUUCCUUUAUUGCUAUUAUUGUAUUUUGGUUGUCAAUCAUGUCAUAAUCAAUACUUCAUUAAUGUAUACUUUUAUUUACUAUUGUCCUUCAUUCUCAUAUUUGUACAAUAAGGUAUUUUGAGGCUAAAUUUACAUUAAUUAUGUUUGAAGGGUUGCUGAGGUUCACAUCACCAACUUUCUUUAUUCUUACACAAGUACUUUCCUUAAUUGUUAGUAAUAAGCUGCUGAAAGAAGCUUAUUAAUUCCUUGUGCUUAAAUAAACUCAACAAGAAAAAGCAAUCAUGCCUUAUGGAGAAGCCAAUAAAAAUCAAAAUCAAAAUCAUUUAAUUCCAAGUAUUAUGCAUGCAACUCAUUACUUUUUGGAGAGUUUUCUUGACACAUCCAAACAAUGUUGCUAUAAUUUGUACUAAAACAUAUGGAUGUCUAAAUACAUCAACUACUUGAUAAUGUUUGAUUUUUCUUCAUUGCUUUGCUUGUUAGGCAUGAUGUUCAAAUUUUUUUUUUCCUAUUAUGAUAUUUUUGUGAUAAUUUAAUGAUGAAAUAAUUUGAUCACAACAUUAAUCUUCUGCGAUAAGAAAUUAUUAUCAUGGAAAAUAUCUUCUUUUUUUAAUGAUGAAAGUCAUUUUUUAUCACAAAAUAUAUAUACUUUCAUUGUAAGUAAAAUAUGUAAUAAUUAAACUCAUCUACUGUUUCAGUUGAUGAUUAAUGUUAUAUACAUGGUUUUAAAAACCAGACCGAGCCUGCCGGUCCGACCGUCGGCCAGUUACGAUUCCUAUCCAAUUUGGUCAAUUAGCUCGAAAAGAUGUUAAACUAGAAUAGGACUAGUUAAACCGGUGGUCCAACCAGCUAACCAGACAAAUCGGACUGUUCAAUUAUUAUUUUUUUCAAUGUUAAAACGACGUCUUUUUGAUGCUUCUCCCAUCUUCAACCUUCAAUCCAUCCCUCUUUCAGUGUGAAGCCAUCGUCACGCCCCUCAUGCCUCGACACCGACUGUGAGCCUCCCCCGCUGUGACACUAGCUCCCCCCGGCAAUACCGGUUGGAAGCUCCUCCUUUGGUCGGUAGCUGUAAAUCUCCUUCCUCCCACCAUGACCACCCCCUAUGUAAGGCCCCCUCACCCACCCUCCCCCAACUAUCAAAAACACCCAUCCUCCCCUUCUCCCAACCCACCAUAAAUUUCCCCCGUGUAAUACCCACUCUGAGCAGCGGCAAUAGCUGGAAGGUGAAAUUUUUUAUGUUUUAUAUUUAAUGUGUUUUUUUAUUAUAAUUUGAUUUAUUUCUAAUUUGAAACCAAUUUUCUGAUUUUCAAAUAAAAUUUUUAUUUUUAAAUAAUAUAUAAAUUAUUAUUUUUAUUUUUAUAAUUAUUUUAAAUUUUAAUCAUUUAUAAAUUAUAUAUUUAAUUAUUUAUGACGUCUUCGGCUCGACCGUCAGUCCAACCAAUGAACCGUGAAUCGGUAACUUUUCCGAUUCAAUGACCAAUCUGAUUCUGAAAACAUUGGUUAUAUAUUGCAUGAUAAUAAAUGUAAAUAUCACAAAUCUUAAACUUGAUAUUAGCAUUAAAAGUGCUCCCCAACUAGUCAAUUAUAUGCUACCUUGUAUAUGCUCGGCUUUCUCACUUUUUCUUCUAGUUUUUUUUAUGUUUAAAACUACUUUUAUAAAUAAGGAUAGUCUUGGGGUCCUCUUGAGACAUAUCAAAGAAACAUCAGUUGAGUCGAAGGAUUAGUUUUGCGUGCACUUCAAUAGUCUAGGGUUUGGUAUGGAGCAACCUAGAGAUUCCAACAGUUUCAUCGUAAUCCACUCCAUAUUUCUACGUAAAUCCCUUUAUCACUAGGUUGGCCUUAUACCUCUCAAUGGACCCAUCUAAUUGAGUUCGUCCUUUGUAAUCUCAUUUACAACCCACUAUAAAUUUUCUAGAAGGUAACAUGGAAAGAUCCCUCAUAUGUUUAACUCUUGUUCAAUGCCUCUAUUUCUUUUUCCAUUUCCUUUAGCUAAUGAGGAUUUGUCAUGAUAUGACUUGCGCUCAUAAAUAGAUAAAAUUUUCAAGAGAAAACAAUGAAAAUAAUGUAACCAUUGUGAAGGAAAAUGGGUUCUUGACUAAUGGCAAAGUUCAUGAAAAGUACUAGUUACCUUAUCAUUCUUCAAGGACUAAAUAUCAGGACAAGGUUCAACAAAGUUGUCCUAUUUGAAGGAUUUGUGUUAAGAAUCCAAAUUAGAGGAUGUGUUGAAAACUCAAUUCAGUCUACAUAAUUUAUAUUACUAAUUCAUUACUUAGCAGUUUAAGAUUUUGAAUAAAAUUUAUAAGGCCUUAUUUUUUAGAAGGAUGAGAGUUCAUGUUGGAUUAAAUUAAUAACUUAGUGCUUAUUUGGAAACAUUUUCCAUAAUCUACUUUUAAAAAUAGGAAUAAAUGUAGUAACUUUUAUAUAAAAAGUAUAAACUUACCUUAUAUCUUUAAAAAUUAUUUUUAGAAUUUUUAAAAUUUGAGAUACUAAAAUUUUUUUAAUAUCUUAAUUUUUUAAAAUCAUCAACUACUAUCAUUUUUUGUUUCAAAAAAAAAAAAAUAGUAAGCAUAUCUAAACAAUUCCUUAAUGACUUAAUUCCUUUGUUGUCAAGAUCUACAUUUAGCUAGAUAUGGUUGUUGAUGUAAUCCAGGAAAGUAAUAAAUUUUUGUGGGGAAAAAAAAGUAUAAACUUUUAUAUAAACAAAAUAUCCAAAAUCAAAUCAAUAUGUAAGGGACAUAUGAAUUUUUUGCAUGGAAAACCCCCACACUAACUAUGAAAAUAAAAACCACGGGGUUUAAAACCUUAAAUCUAAAUCCACUAUAUGAGAUCAAGUCAUACGAAAUUAUCUAACUAGUUUACUCUAAAGAUUUACUCUCCAAAACCUACAACUUUAUCCACGUCUGCGACGCAACAAUCUCCAAUUGCUCUUGUGAAUUCUUCUCAACCUCAUUGAAAUGAUGCAGGUCUUCUAACAACUCUAAAUUCAAUACUUUGAAUCUUCCAUGAGUGAUUGGAAAUGGUUAUGUGAUAUCCCACAUCGGAUAGGGGAGAAUGUUCCUGGCGCUAUAUAUGUAGAGGCUCCUCUUAACCAAGAAAACGCGUUUUAAAACCGUGAGGGCCCCCUUGGGCCCAAAGCGGACAAUAUCUACAUGGUUGGGUGCGGGUCGUUACAAAUGGUAUCAGAGCUGAUCCCCGACCCCGGUGUGGGGGUUUGUUUGGCCUCGUAAGGGGUGUUUGUUUGUUUGGCCCCGCAAUCCCAUGGGACACAACGAGGACGUUGUGUCUGCAUGGGGGGGGGGGGUGUUUGUGAUGUCCCACAUCGGAUAGGGGAGAAAGUUCCUGGCGCUAUAUAUGUAGAGACUCCUCUUAACCAAGUAGACGCGUUUUAAAGGCGUGAGGGCCCCUUUAGGUCAAAAGCAGACAAUAUCUACACUGUUGGGACCGGGUCGUUACUAUCAAAGCCGAUCCCCGACCCCGGUGUGGGGAUUUGUUUGGCCCCAUAAGGGGUGUUUGUCUAUUUGGCCCCGUAAUCCCAUGAGACACAACGAGGACGUUAUGUCUACAUGGGGGUGUUUGUGAUGUCCCACAUCGGAUAGGGGAGAGUGUUCCUGGCGCUAUAUAUGUAGAGGCUCCUCUUAACCAAGUAGACGUGUUUUAAAGCCGUAAGGGCCCCUUUAGGUCCAAAGCGGACAAUAUCUACACGGUUGGGAGUGGGUCGUUAAAAAAUGGUAUCAGAGCUGAUCCCCGACCCCGGUGUGGGGGUUUGUUUGGCCCCGCAAUCCCAUGGGACACAACGAGGACGUUGUGUCUACAUGGGGGAGGGGGGGUGUUUGUGAUGUCCCACAUCGGAUAGGGGAGAGUGUUCCUGGAGCUAUAUAUGUAGAGGCUCCUCUUAACCAAGUAGACGUGUUUUAAAACCGUGAGGGCCCCUUUAGGUCCAAAGCGGACAAUAUCUACACGGUUGGAAGCGGGUCGUUACAAAUGGUAUCAAAGCUGAUCCCCGACCCUAGUGUGGGGGUUUGUUUGGCCUCGUAAGGGGUGUUUGUUUGUUUAGCCCCGCAAUCCCAUGGGACACAACAAGAACGUUGUGUCUGCAUGGGGGGGAGUGUUUGUGAUGUCCCACAUCGGAUAGGGGAGAGUGUUCCUAGCGCUAUAUAUGUAGAGGCUCCUCUUAACCAAGUAGACGCGUUUUAAAGCCGUGAAGGCCCCUUUAGGUCCAAAGUGGACAAUAUCUACACGGUUAGGAGCGGGUCGUUACAAAUGGUAUCAGAGUUGAUCCCCGACCUCGGUGUGGGGGUUUGUUUGGCCUCGUAAGGGGUGUUUGUUUGUUUAGCCCCGCAAUCCCAUGGGACACAACGAGGACGUUGUGUCUACAUGGGGAGGGGUGUUUGUGAUGUCCCACAUCGGAUAGGGGAGAGUGUUCCUGGCGCUAUAUAUGUAGAGGCUCCUCUUAACCAAGUAGACGCGUUUUAAAGUCGUGAGGGCCCCUUUAGGUCCAAAGCGGACAAUAUCUACACGGUUGGGAGCGGGUCGUUACAAAUGGUAUUGAUUCGUGCCCAAUUGGUGUCUCAGCUGAUUUGUGUUCAGCUGGUGCUCCUUGAUUGAGGGAGUAAUCAACAAAAUUUAUUACCUAUAACACCAUACACUAGGGUAGCAAAGAAAAAGCUACUAUAGUAUAGUGGCUCUAGGAUCGUUCACUGGGAAUGAUUAACAAGCAAUCAAUGAUACCAAUUCCAAGUGAAUUGGUCUUGUUUCAUUUCAAGGUUAGCUUAAGAAGUAAAACACAAACUUUGAUUGGUAAAGGUUUAGACUUAAACUAACUAACAUAACAGAAGUUUGGAAUAAUUUAGGAAGAAAAGCAUUCCCUGGAGAUUUAGGUUCACUGGGGUGGUUCCUCAUGCAAAAGACAUAGCUCCGGUCAGAUGGUUCAUUUCCUCGCGUUAGAGAUUCAACAUAUAGUCAAUUCUCUAACCGGUGUUGUACAGAGACUCCUUCAAUUAGAUUUCACUUUAAUUCUCUCACUGAUGCAACUUGCAAUGGUUUAAGCCUCUCACUAAGCCUUAACCAUUCAAGGUGAUCUUUAACCUUGGAUUACCCGUCAAAAGCUCGCAAGAGAUAACUAAUGGAUGUCUCCUUGGAGUCCAAAAGCUUAUCAAGUGUUGGCUAUUCUAGAAAAUCCUACCCUGAAGUCACCUACCAGAGGCUCGCAAGGGGUAAACUAGUGCAUUUCCAUGGUUGGAAAUCACUUGCCUUACCAAGUGUUGGCCUAGGUGACUCUAAGGUGUUUUAAGUUAACUAAAAACAUAGAAAUCACUAAAGGAUUUCACUUCCUCUUCAUUACUAGCUAAAACCACAAAGCUUUGCAUUCUUGCACUUGGAACCUUCCCCGGCAACCUUAGCUCCAAGGAAUUAGAGGUUUAGUUACUCAUUCUCUGGGGAAAACUCCUCAGAGAAUUCAUAACUUAGAAAUAAAAUGAAAAUACAAAGUGAGAAGGUAAGGCAGUAGAAAUUAAGAAAAUAGACUUUACUUGCUUACCCAAACGUUUACAGAAAGAACUCCUCCCUGAGAACAGGCUCCCGAGAGGUAUAUAUAUGAACAUAAUAUAAAACUAAUUAUUACAUAGAUAUUUAGUCUUUUUACUAACUUAAAACUAAGGAAUCAUGUAAUUGGUGGGUGUUUGUGAUGUCCCACAUCGGAUAGGGGAGAAAGUUCCUAGCGCUAUAUAUGUAGAGACUCCUCUUAACCAAGUAGAUGCGUUUUAAAACCGUGAGGGCCCCCUUGGGCCCAAAACGGACAAUAUCUACAUGGUUGGGUGUGGGUCGUUACAGGUUAGGCAAGUUAGGUUUAAUUCUUUUGUAAGUGUCCAACCCUAAAAGGGUUUAUAUAGGCCUCUAGGCCUUAGGAGAUCAAUAUCCCAAGUUUUUCAAAUGCAAUAUUUGUGAAUUUCCAAAAAAAUAUUUUAUCAUAUUCUGGCAAAUUCGGGACGAUCGAGCUAGUGUACUUACCCACCGCUCAAGUGACUCGGGCACUUGAGUGUUGGAUAAGCGCUUAAGUAGUUUCAAUGCUUGAGUGUUGUUUCCAACACUCGAGUGUCUCCUAUUUUUCCAAAAUAAUAAAUUAAGCAUUUUAAUUCACAAAAAAUAUAUCAAUCAAAUUUAAAUCUUUAAACACCUAUCUUUUUAAACUUGCAUGUGACUUUUCAAUUAAGCGAAUAACAAUCUUGAAUCUUCAAUAAAGAGUAAGUCACUACUAAAAAAAUUUCAUAAGCCAAAUGAAACAAAAUUAUUAACUUACAAUGUAGACUCCUUGUCCUAACACAUGUCUCAAUGUUAUUUCAUAUUGUAUGUAUGUCAAGACUCCUUAAUCAUUUUUUUCAAAGAGACAAGACACAAAGUAUUUCAAUCUGGCACUCGUCUUUAAUGAAGGGACCUUCUCAAAGGUAAAACCAGAAAGUGGUGAAAAUUUGAGAUACAAAAUUACAUUGUUUUUGCCAUCCAAAUUUGGGAAAUAGAAAAUGAAAGGGGAAAAAAUUUAGAAUAGGAAGUAGUCCAAAAAAGAAACAAGGAGAAUAUAAAUUAGCACAAAAUGGAGAAAUGGGCUAGAAAAUAUAAAAAAGAAAUGAAGAAACUUAAAAGAUUGUGUUGUUCCAUCGUAUCCUACACUAUACAAAAUAAAAAAUACUAGGUUUUUUUCACUCUAGUUCUAAGAUCAUUGUUAGUUCUUGUCGAAGAGAUUUUCUAGGCUAGCUUGCAUUUGUUCUCAUUGGAUUCAUGUAGGUGAAAAGAUUAGGCAACAUGGCUAAAUUGUCUCCUACCUUCCUAUUCUAACAUUUGAACCACAAGUUUCAUAGUAGGAAGAUUCACUAGAUACCAUUGAAUACACCAAAGUCCCACAAUUGUUAAUUUCUUUGCUAUUUUAGCAUCUUCAUCUUCCUCAACCCAAAUCUACAACUCUUCUCCUUUAUUCAAACGAUUUUAGAUCCAUUCUGGAAAGUAUACUUGGCUAGUGUUUUUCAUUGUCACAUCAACAUUUUUUUUUUCCUCCUACAAUUUCAAGCAACAACAUUCCAAAACUAUAAACAUCUAACUUGUAGGAAACAUUCUCCAAAUUUCUAGAUGAUACUUCCGGUGCAAUAUAACCCACAAUCCCUCUAGCUGCAUUCCUAAAAACUGCAAUUUCCCCCUUAGAAUAUAAUUUUGCUAGGCCAAAAUUGGAUAUCUUUAGAUUGAAGUUAUAAUCCACUAAAAUAUGAUGAGACUUGAUAUCAAAAUGGAUGCUUCUUUGAUCACAACCUUGGUGGAAAUACUCAAUACCUUUGGUCAUGCCUAGAGCAAUAUCUUAAAGUUUCUCCCAACCAAGUGAGCAUUUUUUAAUAGUUGUUGAAAAUAUAAAAUUCUCUAAAGAUCCAUUAGGUAAGAACUCAUAAACAAGGACACGGCAAAAUCCAUCAGCACUAAAACCAACUAAGCAAACAAUAUUAAUAUAGUGAACUUUGUUCAUUUCUCUCAUUUCAUUAAUGAAUUCUUCCCCAUUUCCCUUGAAAUUGUUAAAGGAUCUUGACAACAAGAACUUCAUCAAAAAACUUUCCUUUAGAUACAGUUCCAUAACAUCCUUCACCCAAUUUGUCCUUAAAUUGAUUCAUAAUCCUCUUAAUAUCAACAUAAGAAUAUCUUGAAGGCUUGAGAGUCAUGCAGUCUUCCAAAAAAAAUUCAAUCUCUAUUUGAUUGAAAGUUAAUAAAUUAUUUUUAUAUAUAUUUUUAAACUCAUUUCAUUUAUUUUAACUUUUUAAAUAAAGAUUAAAUAAUUUGAAAAUGCAUAAACUUUUAACUAAAUUUAAUUAUAUUUUUUUUUAUAUUUUUCAUAAUAUAAUCAAACAUGAGAUAAUUAUUCUUUUUACCAUUUUUUCUUCCUUUAAUACUUUCCCAAACCAAACGUAGCAUUAGUGGACUAUAAACUAGAAAAGAUGGAAUCUAUAACACUUCAUAAUUCCUCACCCUGGGUCUAACAUUCAUGGGUUAGGUCACACAUCAAUUCUUGCCCGCUCGGAGAAGGUGCCAAAGAGAAAUCACUGAAUACAUCUGCUUCUCUUUUCUCUUUUUUCAUAUUGGUGCCUUGGCAUUCAGACAAGGAAAAAACAGGAUAAGAGAACAGCUAGUAGCUUCUCCUCACAAAAUAUCCCAAGUCAUGGUUACUUUUCUCAGCUUAAUUAUUGCUGAAGAGACUAAGUGAAUGAUUUCCUUGUUGAAAGAUGUGGAUGAAGCCAAUCCAAGAAAAAUGUAAUGAUCAAAAAGAGGUAAUCAAUACCUGAAUGUGCUGCACUUGAGCUAGGGUACCAACAUUGUCUCACCAUAUAAUUAAAGGAAAUUAAGAGGAUAGAAUAUAUAGAUUGUUCAGAAGCAUUCCAAUCCAAUAUAAUUCAGAUAGAGUAUUGCCAUAAAUCAAUACUUAGCCUGUAAGCUCCAACUAGGGAUUGUUACUUUGCAGCCCCAAGUGAGAAGAUAUAAGAAGAGUAGAGUCCAUCCCAAUAGAUAGAUAACUAUAGGAUAUCUUUAGGAAGAAGUGAAUCUCAUGUGCUCUUACGAUAACAAAGAAUUAAUGUACUAAGUCCAUUUGUUCUAGAUUAUAAAUUGUGGAUUGUUGUUUCUUCUUCCUAAGAGUCUUGGACGAACUUAUAUAGGUAUAUUUCAAAUUCAUAAAUAAUAGCUAACAAGUCAUGACUAUGAAGAACUUCCAAAAACCACUAUAAGGUAAAAGGGAAACAAUGAUACUUUUUGAACAUUUCCUAUUUGAUUGAUCUCACCAAUAGGAUGCAAACGACAUGUUCAACCAACUCCAUUAGGAAUUGUCUCUUUUUAGCUAGUUAGCUUCAAAGUAAAAUCCUGCUUUGAGUUGGCCUUUAAAAGACAACCUGUGUUCUUUGGGAUAAACACCCAUUUUUAGAGUAAAAAGCAUAGUUGUGAACCACACGAGAGAUAGUGCUUUAAAAGCUUUUCUAUGAUUUCCUCAUUAACUAUAGUUAAAAAACAGUCCCCUAUAUGUUUGAUAGUUUUAUGGUCUUCCCAUUAAUUAAUUUGGGCCUUCCCCUUAAUUCUUUUGAAAACAAUAAGUCCCAUUUUUCAUGAAAAAUAAGAAAUCAUCCAUUACAAAAUUAGUCAAGUUUUAUAUGAAUUUGAUUAAGAGCUUGUCAAUAGAAAUUACCUUACAAGGUUUAAUGUUUCUAAUUAAGACCUUCCUAGACAUAUCCUUCUCAUAAAUUUUGUGGAGAAAUUUCAAAGCCAAUUUUUCCAAGGAAAAUAAGAAACCGUGUAACCAUCGAUCAAGCUUUCCCAUGUACCCUCCUUUCUUUCAAUUCUUGCACAAUAAGUCAAAUACCCCACAAUGCUUAAUGUUUCUAUAUUGACACCUUCCUAAAAGUCCUUCUCAAUAAUUCUUUUGAAAAUAAUAGCACUCAUCUUCUCAUGGAAAACAAAAGACAUUGGUUUUCGAUGCUUGUUUUUCCAUGGAAAAUAAGAAAUUACCAAAGGAAUGAGUCAAGCUUUUCUACCCUUUUUCUAUUUUAGUUACAUACAUCAACUACCCCACAAUGUUUAUUGUUUCUUUGUUGAUACCUUCCUAAAAGGUUAUUCUAAAUAAUUCUUUUGAAAAUAGUACCACUUAUCUUAUCCCCAUCGUGUUUAGUUUUUCUAGUCAGCACAUUCUAGACAUUAUUCCUACCCCAUUAAUUUUGUCGAAAAUUUUCUCCUGCCUAGUUUUCCAUGGAAAAAAAACUCACAAAAGGAAUCAGUCAAGAUUUUCUACCCUUGUUUCUAUCCUUAUUAAAUACUCAAAUGUUUCUAUUUUGACACCUUCCCAACCAGUUCCAUUUCUCAUGGAAAACAAGAAAUCAUUGGUUAUGAUUCCCAUGGUAGGAAACAACCAAAGAAACUACUCAAGCUUGUCUACCCUUAUUUAAUUUCCAUCAAGGAUCCCAUAGCAUUUUAAUUUUUCUAUGUUGACACCUCCUGAGCCCUUCCCCUUAUUCUUAUGAAAACAAUAACACCAUUUUCCAUUGAAAACAAGAAUCAUUAAAUUCAAAGGAUUUGAAGAUUUUUCUGAAGGGCUUGUUAGAAGAAAUUGUCCCACAAUGCCUAAUGUUUCUAAUUGACACCUUAAAUAUUAUUCCUUCCCUAGUGUUUCAUGGAAUGUAACUUAAAAAUGUUACAAAAUUUAAUUUUAAAGAUUAUUAUGAUUCAUCUUUCAAUCGACUUUGUAAGCAUUAUGCUUCGUAAUCUCCUUUUAUCCAAAAACAAAUCCUAGUUGACGACAUUUGCUACUCACAAUGUUAUAUAUUUCUAAAUUUGAAAAUUGACACCUCUUAAAGGUCUUUCUCAUUAAUUCUUUUGAAAACAAUUAAAAUUAAGUCCUUUAGCAAUAGUAUAAUCAAUCAAUUUCAGAAACAUUGAUUCUUAAUACAUAAAAUCUAAAUAAUUUUAUUUCAAGAUUAAAACAAAUAACUAGAACACUUCUUUAUUUAUUAAGACAAGGCAAAAAGAAAUGUAGUUUAUCAUGGGAAAGCAAGUGAGCAAUAAACAAGAAAAUGAAAAUUCAUUAGAAGGCAAUCACAUUAUAAUAUAAUAUUAAGGUUUUUUUUUGUCUAAAAUUUUAAAUAUGAAUAAUUACAAUUUAUGAAAUUUAAUUUUGUUAAAAAUUGGAUAAUUAUGAGACAAAAAUAAUAACCUUAUGUGACAAAAUUAUAGUUUCAAUUUUGAAGUUUUUGGAUUUAUUUUAGAUUAAUUUCUUAUUCAAAUUAAAUAAUUUUUACAUUUGAUUCUUAAGUAACAAUUCAUAAAAAUAAAAAUUUUAAAUUUUCUUAAGAAACAUGAAAAAAAUUUAUUUCUUGAUGACAUAUUUGCUAAUUUAUCAUAAAUUCAUUUCUCAUUCAAAUAGUAUAAAAUAUAGGUAAUUUAAUUCAUUAUUAAAAUAAAAGUUGUCCAUAACUUUCAAAAAAUAAAUUUAAUUUUAUUAUUAUUUCUCAAAAACUAUUUUUUAACAAAAAAUAAUAAUAAUAAUUACGAAACAUCUUUUUGAAUUUGAAAAACUAAUUUUAAAAAUAUUCUCAAAUACACUCUUAAUUUCUUAUAAAUUACCAUAAAUUUGAAAUUUUAUAUUUUAUAUUUGAUAAAAAAAAAUUUAAAAAAAAAACCCUUUUAACUUUUUUUAUACCACAGCAAAUAAAUAUGUUACCUCGAGGUUUAAUAUAGUAAUUAAUAGAAGAUAAUCGAAAUAAAAUUUUCCACCCCUGCCCAAAAAUUAAUCCAACAGUUACUCAAAAAUCCUUUUUGUAUGAAACUUCACGUACAAAACCAAACACUCCCUCCUUUAUGAGCUUGAAGCGUUGAACAACUUCAUUUCUCUCAAACUAGCCGUUAGGGGAAGAUCAUGAUAACUCUCUCUCUUCCCUCUCCCGCCCAACCCCUCCUCCCACCUUCCUCCAAAACCCUAAACCCUUCCCGCCAAAACAUUAUCCCCUCCUCCCUCUCUCUCAAAAACCCCAACUUCGAGCCCCUCAAGAACCGUCUGAUCCGCCAACUCGACGUGGGCCGCCUCCACCAUGCAUUCUCCACCCUUGAUCUCAUGACCCAGCAAAACGCCCCACCAGAUCUCACCACCUACUCCAUCCUCCUCAAGUCCUGCAUCCGAUUCCGCAACUUCCAACUCGGGAAACUCGUCCACCGGAAGCUAAUGCAGUCUGGACUCGAGCUCGACUCGGUUGUGUUGAACACUCUGAUCAGCUUGUACUCAAAAUGUGGCGACACCGAAACCGCUAGGUUGAUUUUUGAGGGAAUGGGAAAUAAGAGAGACUUGGUUUCAUGGAGUGCGAUGGUCUCAUGUUUUGCGAAUAACAGUAUGGAGUUGCAAGCAAUUUGGACAUUUCUUGAUAUGCUUGAAUUGGGGUUUUACCCGAAUGAGUAUUGCUUUGCGGCCGUGAUUCGGGCUUGUUCAAACGCCAAUCACGCCUGGGUUGGGGAGAUAAUUUAUGGGUUUGUGGUGAAAACCGGGUACCUUGAGGCUGAUGUCUGUGUUGGGUGCGAAUUGAUUGAUAUGUUUGUGAAGGGUAGUGGUGAUUUGGGCUCAGCUUAUAAGGUGUUUGACAAAAUGCCUGAGAGAAAUUUGGUUACUUGGACUUUAAUGAUAACUAGAUUUGCGCAAUUAGGUUGUGCAAGAGAUGCAAUUGAUUUGUUUUUAGAUAUGGAAUUGAGUGGUUAUGUACCGGACCGUUUUACAUAUAGUAGUGUCCUUUCUGCUUGUACAGAAUUAGGAUUGUUAGCACUAGGAAAGCAAUUGCAUUCACGAGUAAUACGUUUAGGAUUGGCAUUGGAUGUUUGUGUUGGUUGUAGCUUGGUGGACAUGUAUGCAAAGUGUGCAGCAGAUGGGUCAGUGGAUGAUUCGAGGAAGGUAUUUGAGCGGAUGCCUGAGCAUAAUGUUAUGUCUUGGACUGCAAUUAUCACAGCGUAUGUGCAAAGUGGAGAGUGUGAUAAGGAAGCUAUUGAACUUUUCUGCAAGAUGAUAUCCGGUCAUAUAUGGCCUAAUCAUUUCUCAUUUUCAAGUGUUCUCAAGGCAUGUGGAAACCUUUCUGAUCCAUAUACAGGUGAGCAGGUGUACAGCUAUGCAGUGAAACUGGGCAUAGCAUCAGUGAAUUGUGUGGGGAAUUCUCUUAUUAGCAUGUAUGCUAGGAGUGGAAGAAUGGAAGAUGCCCGAAAAGCUUUUGAUAUUCUCUUUGAGAAGAAUUUGGUUUCUUACAAUGCAAUUGUUGAUGGGUAUGCCAAGAACUUGAAGUCUGAAGAAGCUUUUCUACUCUUUAAUGAGAUCGCAGAUACUGGUAUUGGUAUCAGUGCUUUUACAUUUGCUAGCUUGUUGAGUGGGGCUGCAAGUAAUAGGUGCAAUGGGCAANNNNNNNNNNNNNNNNNNNNNNNNNNNNNNNNNNNNNNNNNNNNNNNNNNNNNNNNNNNNNNNNNNNNNNNNNNNNNNNNNNNNNNNNNNNNNNNNNNNNNNNNNNNNNNNNNNNNNNNNNNNNNNNNNNNNNNNNNNNNNNNNNNNNNNNNNNNNNNNNNNNUGGCACUGGGAAUGAUGAGUGACAUGACGAUCUGAAGAGUUGCUUGGGUACGGUAGAUUCAAUAUGAAGGAAUCUCUUCACAAACUCAGAAGCAAUGCAUGGAUUGAUUUCUUUCAAGCUUAAAGCUCAAAAGGGUUCUCUCAGAUUCUAUGAAAAUUCUCUUCAAAAAGGAGCCUCUCUGGUUGGAUUUAGGCAAACUUGCUUUCAGCCCAGAGCCUAAGACAUUUUUUAUUGUUUUGAUAUCAUAUAAACAGAAUAAAAGUGCUUAUAUAUGAAUGUAAGUGAUCUGUAUAGUUGAUAUCUGCUGCAUCCUUGUAAAAGUAGGAUGUUUGCCUUCAUCUGCAAAACCCUAUUAUGUAUAAUAAAUUGAACCAUUGUGGUUGAUUUGGGAACAUUUGUGAUUGAUUUGUUUUGGAAUUACGUUGAAAUCUAUUUGAGAAUCAAAAUAUUCUUAAUCUGUUUUCUAUAUUUUUAAAUAUGUUUUAAAAUAAUUUUUAUAUAUAAUAUUUUAUUUUUAAUCAUUUUUCAUAUUUAUAUAAUUAUUUUUUAAAAUAGUAUUUCAAAACAACUUAAAAUAACUAAAUAUUUUUAAUAAUAGAAAACUGUUUUCUAUUUCUUGGUUGUCUAUUACUUUCUUUCUUUUUUUUUAUUGAAGUUUUUAAAAAUAGCUAUUAAAAUAGAAUCUAAUUUUUUUUUCUUUUUUUUGUUUUAGAAAAUAAAAAGUAUUUUAAAAAAUAGUUGUCAAAUACGAUCUAUUGUUUCACCAACCAAAAAAUAUAAAACAUAUUUAUGUUCUUAAAAAUUAGAGAAUAUGAUUUUUUUUUAUAAUAUCUUUUAAUUAUUUUCACUUUUUUUUAAAAAACUAUUUUAAAAAAUAAUUAUACAAAUACAAAUAAUGAUUAAAAAUAAAGUAUUAUAUAUAAAACUUCUUUUUAAAAACAUAUAAAAUAAAUUAAAUACAUUUUCGGUUUCAGACAUAACUUUUUUUUUUGUUACAAAAUAUCAAAAUAUUUUUCAAAACUAUUUUUUAAAACACUUCCCAAAUAAAAGCCUUAUUAUUUUGUAACUCUUUCCUAUGAAUAAAGCACUCAUAAUUUUUAGAACACAAAAAAUUAAGAAAGGAUUUUGAUUAUUUUUUUCAAAAUAGCAUAUAUAUUUUCAUACAAUAUUUCUUAAAAACAGUUUUUAAAUCUUCAAAAUUAUAACUAAUGGAAGGGAACAUACAGGAAAUUGUGGGUGACUACAUAUAUAAUUUACUUUUGGUUUAUCCACAAAAACAUUUACUAAAAUUUAAUUACCCUAAGCCUAUACAAAACCUUGAAAUUUAAGGUCAAUGAGACGUAAUCUUCCUUCAAUCUUCUCCCUUAUUCCAAGUGAAAAAGUAAGGAAAAUUCGUGGAAGACUCCAUGUUGUUCUGCUCUUACUUGUGGAGAAUCCUUUUAGCCGUGGACUAAACGUUUUUGUUACCUUAACUACUUAGUCACCAUUUCCAUAAUUUCAAGGAAGGUGAAUGACAAAAUUCUUAUUUGUAUUCUCUUACCAUUUUUAUAAUUUUUUUUAUUAUCUGACCUUACAACGUAAAUCAUAAUUUUUCAUAUGUAGAAAUUACGAAGAAAAAUAGUAAAAUUAUUCUAUAAUUUCUCAUAGGUAAAAACCUUAUAAAAGGAAAUGAAAUAUUUUAUAAUUUCUAAACAUUUUAUGAAAAGAAACUAUGAAGAAAUGAUUAAUUUUAUUUUAUGUUUUAUCUUAUUAAAAGAUAUCCAGAAAGGCUAUGUUUGGUUCAUAUAAAAUUUAAGGAAAAUGUAAGGGAAAGAAAAUAGAAAAAAAAAGUAGAUGAAAAGAAAAAAUGAAGGAAAAUAAAAAAUAGAUUUGAACUUGAUAAAUUAUUUUUAUAAACUUCAGAAAAAUUGGAUUGAUUACCUUCGAAAAAACCUUGAACUACAUCUAGUCUUAUAAAAAGUAAUGGAGAAAUAAUUAAUCCAAAAAUAUCAUAUCUUAAUGCAAUUGACACGUUAAUGUAUUUUGGAAAUUAUAUACAAUUAGAUACAACUCUCUUUAUCAAUUUAUUAAUAAGAUAGACAUUCUCAAAAACAUUGAAAUCGGGUUAUUACUACAACAUUUUCAUGAAACACCAAACAUGAAUUUAUAAUUAAAAACCAUUCACUUGGUUGGAAAAAGCAUCAAGAUAUUGCUUUAGGUAUUGCCAAAGGAAUUGAAUAUCUUCACCAAGGUUGUGAUCAAAGAAUCCUCCAUUUUGAUAUCAAACCUCAUAAUAUUUUACUUGAUCACAAUUUUAAUCCAAAAAUAGCUGAUUUUGGCCUAGCCAAAUUAUGUUCCAAGGAACAAAGUGCAGUUUCUAUGACUACAGCUAGGGGAGCCAUGGGCUAUAUCGCUCCAGAGAUGUUAUCCAGGAAUUUAGGGAAUGUGUCUUACAAGUUAGAUAUUUUUAGUUAUGGAAUGUUAUUACUUGAAAUGGUAGGAGGAAGGAAGAAUAUUGAUGUUACUGUGGAUAAUACUAGCCAAGUUUACUUCUCAGAAUGGAUUUAUAAUCAUCUAGAUCAAGGUGAAGAGCUACAAAUUCGAAUUGAUGAAGAAAGAGAUACUCAAAUAGUAAAAAAAUUGACAAUUAUUGGACUUUGGUGUAUUCUAAAAGAUACCUUCAACAAGAGUUAACAGUUAUCUCAUAAAUUGAAUGAAAGAUGUUAUCAUGUCUUUUUCAAUUUUUAGAAGUGUGUAAUUUAAAUAUGAUGUAGUAAUCCUCCAUCAAUGUAGGCUCACAAUUUUAUUAUUAUCAUGUACCAGUAUUUUUACUACAAUAUUCAUUUUGAGGCUCAACUUACAAUAUGUUUAAAAAGGUCUCUCCCACAUAAUUGAUUUCUUCUUCAUAAUGUUUUCUGUGGUAUAAGCAAAAAUAUAUGAUUAGUCUCAACCUAGUUCAGUUCAGCUCCCCAAAGCUUUGUGGAUCACCUUUGACUAGCAAAAGGGCAGCUUAUUUUACCAAAUUUCAGCAAGAAGUCUAGCAGUCUAUCUUUGGGGGGGAAAAAAUCUGUUUUUAAUAAGAUUUUCCGUUAUAGAUUCAAUAGCAUUUCAUCAUUUAUUGGAUAAUUUUCAAAAUUUCAAAUCUAGUGUAUAUAAAGUGGCUGAGAAACAGUGGAAAAACUCUGGAGAUGAGCAGUGUUGCUUUUAGCUGAAUAGAAAAAGCCAAAUAUUUUCUAUUCAGCCAAAAAACAAACACCACCUUAUUAAGUUGAUAAAACAACGUAUGAAAGAAACUCUUAAGUCUGACCAUUACAUUUAUUCAAUUACAUCUAAUAAAACCAACUGAAAAUCCUUAACUAGUUAAUUUGUUCUAUGAACUCUCGAUAACUUGACAAGUAUUAUUUAAUUAAGAUAUUCAAUCUAUAGUUUAUAUUCUUGAAAAGAAUAAGAUUCUUAUUUUAUUUAAUUUCUAUUUGUUUAGGUAAAAAUAUUGCACAAAAUAUCUCAUAUUGGUAUUUUCUUGUAAAAAAAAUAAAUUAUCUUGAAAAAUAAAGAAAAAAUUACCAAGUUGAGAUCAAUAUAUAAAGUUUAUUUUUCAUAUGUAAAAAUAUAAAACUUCCAAUUUCAAUUGAAGCUAUGUUAAUCUUGCUUUUAAUCUAUAUCCCUAGUCUCUUCUGGUCUCCUAGAGUAUAAUUUAUAUAUUUUAUUUUAAAUUUAUUGUGAUCUUUAUCUAUCCACAUGAAGAAGUUUUGGUAAAUGAAAAUAUAAUAUAAAAAAUGUCAUAAUAUUUUUUCUAAGGAAUAGAGAAAUAAUAAACAACACCAUAUUACUAUGAAGAUAUGAAGAUGUUGCCUUGACUUUUGGAUAAUUUAAUAGAUUUUGCUCCUCUUGUAUUGACAGAUGGGAUAUUCUAGAUGCAAGGUACAAAUCGUUAGUAUGGCUUCUAAAUCUCCGUAAGUAGAUUUACAAAAUAUAUCAUUGAGCUCUUUUAGCCUAGGAUAAUACACCCCCAAGUAUCUCUCAAUAAUUCAUUCUUAGUAUAAAAUUUUUAAAAGUACAUAAAAAUUCAGAAUUUUCAAAUGGUAUGUUGCAAGGAUCAUACUCCUUCAAUAAUUCAUAUGUAGUCCAAUGUUAAUUUCUAUUGACUGAAUUUUAAAAUAAGAACCCAUUGAGUUAAUUUCCUUAGCACUAAAUGGAAGAUUUUCUUUGCCUUUGGAGGACUUCAUUCCUCUCUCCUUAGAAAUGUGCAAUGAGCUUGAUGUGAUAAAGGGAAGGUGUGGACUUCUCAACUGUGGAUUUUUGUGGAAAAGUGUAUUAUGUACAAGAGGAAAAGGCCUAGUCAAAUUUUUUUCUACAUUGCUUGGUAGAUUCCAAUGUUCAUUGAUCUUUCAAACAUCCUGAAAUGUCCAUUAAUUAUGGCAUGACCUGUCUAGAUACAUAUAUUGUCUCACAAUGCUUCAUUUUUCAAAAUUGGUUACCUUUGUAGUAAGUCAAACAAGACAAAAAAAAACUUGACAUGUCCGUCCUCUCAUACAUGAUCUAUUUUUCCUCCACAAUGCUUCAUUUUUCAACAUUGACCACCUUUAUAGUCAAUCAAGUAAAACAUAAAAGAAAAUAAAAAAGAAAAGAAAUCGGUUUGUUCCUUUCCUCUUAUAUAAAACUUUUCCACAAAAAUCCACCAUUAAGUUCACACCUUGAUUCCUCUUUCACAUCUAGCUUAUAGCACAUUUCUAAAGAUAAAAGAAUCAAGUUCUCCAAAUGCAAGGGCAAACCUCCAUUUAAUGUUAACAUUGACACAAAGGGUCCUUACUUGAAAAUUCAUAUUGAUUAAGUCACUAUAAAUUAUAAGCAAAAAAAAAGCUUCUAGCACAUGAACGAUUUAUCACACACAAGGGAUAAAAAAUAUAAAAAGAAAACAAAUGAUUAUAUGAAAAUAUUACCUUAUACCACUUAAUUUCAUACAUAUAUAUAUGAACAAUCAUAAAAAAUCUAAUUCUAAUAGAAACUCAACUUCUAAUAGAACUAGGAUUACAAAUCCUAAACAACAAAAACAACUCAAAUAUUAAUAAAAUAAAUCUUGAUUUCAUUAGGACUCUUAUGUUGCUUUCACUUUGAUUGAUUUUGUAAAGACAUCUGCAAUUUAAUUUUGAAAAGAACAAACCUCAAACAUAAUUUGUCUUUCAUCAAUUCAUGAAUUAGUACAUGAUGUAAUGUCAAUGUGUUUACUUCUUUCAUAAAAAACUGGAUUUUUUGGUCAAUGUUAUUAAUGUUGAUUUAUCAUCCCACGAAAUCUUUAUAGAUACUUCUUGAGUAUACUUUAAAUCAAAAAGCAUUGAAUGCAACUAUACUACUUAAUUAGCACCAUUAGUAGCUACAAUAUAUUUCGUUUUUGCUAUUGACAAAAUAUUAAUCAUCUAUUGUUUCCUUGAUGAUCAAGAGAAAACUUCUAAACUAAGAUUAAAUACAUAACCUUUAAUGUAUCAUAAGAUCUAUUUUCCUAAUUGUAAGUGCGACUAACAUUGAGAAUCCCUAGAUCUACUUAUAAGCCCAACUUCAUAUUUAAUAUCUAGUUUUAUAUUAGUCAAACAAUGUAAACUGCCAACCAUUCUUUGAAAAUUUGUAGGAUCUAUAAAGUCAUCUAAGUUAUUCACUUGCAUAGACUUUUUGAAAAUCACUUGCAUACAUUCUUUGAAAAUUUGUAGGAUCAAUAAACUCCCUAAGUUAUAUUUCACUUCCUUUUUACUUAAUUUUUAAUGACUAGAUGUGACUUUUAAAAUAAGGAACCACUGAGUUAAUUUUCUUGACAACAAUUGAUUAUUUUGCAAUUACAAAAAUGCAAUGAAGUAGUUAGAUGUGAUAGAGCAUGACACCAUGAAUUUCUCAACUAUGAAUUAUGCAGAAAAGUUGACAAGGUACGUAUUUUUGGAAGAGCACAACUUAAUUGUUCUGGUUCUAUCUUGCCUGACUGACUACAAAGGUCACAAAGUUGAAAAGUCAGCAUUAUAGAAAAUUAAAAUUUUAUAAAUAAUCAUUUAGAAAGUUUAUCCACUUUUAUGGGGCCUUUCUUUAAGGUAAAGCUACAUGCUUUAGAGGCAAAGGAUGCAAGCAAAUUAUCUGAGGAAGUGGAGAAAUCCUGUAUGGAAGAACUAGAUAAUGUAAGUGGAGAAAUCCCGUUCUAUUAGUUGACUGCAAAGACGCCAACAUUGUGGGGCGGUUGAUGUGUCCAGUCAAUGUUUUUUAGCACUUUCUCCCAGUGGGUAAGAGGUGAUACUAUACCUAAACCAUUUUUUGGACCCAAACCGAACAUUUAUAACGAAAAGCAGAACUGAUUGUUCUUAAUCUAUAGUCUAAUAAAAGAGCGAGACGGAGAGGAAAGAGACCAUCUCCAGCUAUGUUGAGGAGGCUCUUAUUUGCCGGUUUUGCAGCCAUUUUUCUACUUCUGUUACUCCCAACAACUUGCAAAGCCAAGCUGAAUCAUCAUCUCUGUCACUCUUCUUGUGGGAAUAUUCCGGAUAUAAGCUACCCUUUCCGACUGAAAGAUGACCGACCCAGGUGUGGAGACAGGAAGUAUGAACUGGCUUGUGAGAAUAAUCGCACAAUCUUACACUUGUGGGAAAAUUUUUUGGCUAUCAUUUCUUUGAUUAAAUGAUUUGUAACUUGAAAACCAAAAAGGAACAAAGAAAAAAAAAAUGCAAAAAAGAGAAUGAUCUACCAAAAGAAAAAAAGAUGAACCCCAAAUAGUUAGCAUAGAUACAUUGAAGCCUCUUCCACCAAAUCAAUUAGGUGAAAUAUGGGUUCGAGGACCAAACAUGAUGCAGGGCAAAGUUUGAUCAAAAGUUUGUGUUAGUUCCUCUUCGCAACGAUUUCUAACAACAAGUGACCUUAUUUGAAUCUCCCAAUUAAUUAGGAUCCAUUCAAAUUGAACCAUCUUAAUUCAUUUAGAAAGGAAACAUGGUGGUUAAGACAUCAAUUUUGGUUAAAAUCAAAUUAUUAAUGUUUUAAUUUUGCCUUGUAUUGACUUGUGAAGCCAAACAAUGUAUUCCAAAUCAGACUGCUUAAUCUCACAAGUGGCUUGCCUUUUGCUGUGGGACCUCCUAAGCUAACCCUCAUCUUGCUAACAUCUGAUUUGCCAAAUUAGGCGGAUUAGACCUGUCAGACAUGUUAUAACAUAUAACUGAACACCUAAGAUUCAAAGUUUGAUUCUUUCAAUUGGUCUUUCAAUUAGACCUCUAUGACAUAUGUGAAAUAUAAAAUUGCUUUUGAAUUUUGUAUCUCUUUAUACCAUUGAGUUUCAAAUAUUCUACAUUAAGGAAAAGAGGUGCUCAAUAAAAGAGAAUGAAAGAAUGGUAAGAUUAUCAUUCUCAGAUAUUUAUAAGCCAAUCUUGGCUAUUAUACCUUGAUUUGUAGCUAACUCUCUCAGGAUGUGAAUUGCCUGAGAUAUGGUGGCCUCAAAUGAAAAAAGAAAGGAAAGGGAAAAACCAACCAGAAAGAAAAGGAAUUUGAUAAUUAGUAAAUUGUCGGGAAGAAAAAGCAAAUGCCUUCAACCUAGUAGAUCAAAUUAGUAAAAUGUCUCUCCUGUAAGCAUCAAAAUUUCCACUCAAAGAAAAAAUAUCAAGCUUAUGUCAAUCAGCUGAAUUAAAAAUGAAAAAAUGAGCCUAAAAAAUCAAUUCCUAAUUUUGAGAAGUUAGAAAAUCACAAAAUUGCAUUUGCCCCAUACAUGAGAUAACAGGAUUUGUAUAGAAGUAAAAGAAUGGUUGGUGAAAAACAAAUGUUGAAGUCCAUUUAAGAUUACCACUUGAAUCCUAAGAAAUGAAAAUUGAGGGAGGUAAAUUAGGAAGCCUUUUCCCUCCUUCAAAAUUGCAUAAACCCCAAAACCUAUCAAAAUUUUCUCCUGAAUAGCAAUUAUACAUGAGAUAAAUAUAGUUAAAUGACAUGAAUUUCAACAUCUGAAUUUUUAGAUUUUUGACAAAAUGCUUCUAGUCCAUACCCAUUAAUUUCGAUAAACUUAAUAUUCAUUUUCCCCCUUCUUCUUAGUGUUUACAUGAAGAACAAAAAUAGUCUAAGGGGGUUACUUUGAUGGAUUCAAAAUAAAAAAUAAAUAAAUAGAUAAAUAAAAUGAAAAAAAAAAAAAGGAAACAAGAUCAAGAUGAGUCAAAAGUGUAGCAUCCUAAUUAGGGUGCAAAAUGAAGAGCUUUGCUCUAUCCGAAGCUUCCAUAGUCUUUGAUUUUAUUAGGUACAGACAAGGCACUAUAAUAAUAGUAGACUGCAUUGAAUUUCUUCAUGUCACUAAAAUUUUCAACUUCAUCUUAUGCACGGAAGACAAAAAAAAACACAAAAGAGAAGGAACACGAGCAAUCAUUGCUUCCAAGCUAAGCUUUGAUGCACAUGAAAAUGGAAAGAAGAAUAAGAGUGCAGAGAUGAGGUAUGUGAAAGUAUGGUGAGGGAUUGAUGCUCAUAAUAAUUAGUAAAUAUAUACCAGGGAAUCCAAACACAAACCCUAACCUUAACCCUAACCAGAAAAAGAGAGGUGGGAGGAAAUAGAAGUGAUGAAAAGAAACCUAAUUUGAAAUCAAAGAAAGAAAGAAAGGAAUAACAGAGUGUGAAGCCGUGGAAGGAAUCGAAAGAAUACCUGGAAGAUGUGGGCGAUGAAGUGGCUAAAGAAAUUGGUCGUUGAGCGAGUUGGUCAUUGAUCUAAGCCCCCUCAGUGAUGAGGAUGUCAGUGACGACAACAAUCUAGUCGGAGAAACAUACAGUGAUGAGGAUGGGAGAAGAGUUCGAUGGUCUGUAAUGGUGGCUAAGAAGAGUGAAUGAUAAAAGACAUGGCUCUCAAUGGGUUCAGCAGUCUAAAGUGAGCAGGAGAGAUAGUGCUUAUAUCGUGGCUCUAUGGUCGCG
rnacentral:lncRNA from 1 species